rnacentral:lncRNA from 1 species
CCCUACACUAAUCUUAAAUAUUUUAAAAUAAAGAUUAAAUAUUUAAAACCAUAAAAAUAAAUAUUUUUUUAUUAAAGCAAUUUUUUAAAUGUAAUAAGAUAAAAAUCAUGAAAUCUUCAAAAUUGUAAUUACAACAAAUAUUUUUAAUUUUAAAACUAAUUCAAAUUAAUGAUUUAAAAAAAAUGUUACAAAAACAAUUUUUGUUUAUUUUUAAUUCCUUUUAAAUAUGAUUUUUUAAUUUCCACUAAUAACGGUGAAAUUAUGUUUAUAAGAGUAAAAUGGUAAAAAUAUAUAUUUCAUUUAGUUUACUUAUAAUGAGCAAUUCAUACAUGGUUAAUUUUAAUGUCAAGGUCAAGGUCAAGUUGUUUACAAAUAGUACAAAACUUAUUAGAAACCUUGUACACCUUUGUACACUUAGUAAAUUUCUCUUAUACAGUUAGUGUAAUACCAUUGUACAGUGACACAAAUUCCAUAUCUCUUUGAAGUUAUGUGUUCAUGUAGGUGUGUUAACCAUGUUUUCAAUGGUUUGAUUGAAAAAAUGGUGGAUGACUUAAGGUCAAAUUUUGUUCUCCAAACAUUAUUAUUGGGAAAAGUAUUGGAAUUUCCAUAUGAGAGGUAAAUAAAAUGCAUAACAUAGGUGUACAAUCUAUAGGUGACUAGGGUAGCCUUGAAAUCUUUCACAACCGAUUGAAAUUUUUUACAAAGGGUAGCCUUGUGCACCCUUGUACACUUAGUACAUUUCCCUUCUACAGUUAGUGUAAUACCCUUUAUACAAUGAUGCAAAUUUCAUAUCUCUCUUAAUUUAUGUGUCCACAUAGAUGUGUUAACCAUGUUUCUAAUGUUUUGGUUUAGCAAACAGUGGAUGACUUAGGGUCAAAUUUUUUCCUCAAACAUCAUAAUUUGGGAAGUAUUGGAAUUUCUAUUUGGGAGUUAAAUAAAGUGCAUUAUAUGAGUGUACAAUUCAUGGGUGACAAGGAAAAUAAAAAAAUGGUUCAAAAUCGAUUGAAAUCUUUCAUAAGGGGUAGCCUUGUACAUCCUUGUACAAUUAGUACAUUUCUCUUUUACAGCUAGUGUAAUACCAUUGUAUAGUAGUGUAAAUUUCAUAUCUUUCCUAAGUUAUGUGCCCACGUAGAUGUGUUAACCAUAUUUAUAAUGAUUUUGUUAAGUAAAAGGUGAAUAGUUUAUGAUCAAAUUUUUUUUCCCAAACAUCAUUUUUAGGGAAAUUAUUAUAAUUUCCAUGUGGGAGUUAAAUAAAGUGCAUGACAUGGGUAUGCAAUCCGAGAGUAACAAGGAAAAUAAAAUAGUGGUUUAGAAUUGAUUGAAAUCUUUUACAAAUGAUAGCCUAGUACACUUAGUAUAUUUCCCUUGUACAAUUAACAAAUAUCCUUGUAUAGUGACAUAAAUUUCAUAUCUCGUAGUAAAUGUAUUUAUAUAGGUGUGGUAAACAUGAUUUUAGUAGCUCGGUUGAGAAAAAAGUAGAAAACUUAAAUCUGAUUUUUUUUUUGUGAACAUAUUAUAUUUUUGUGAAAAAAAAAUACACAAUUGGUCAAUUCCUUUGUUUAAUUGUGAACAUAUUAUAUUUUUUAUUUUAUGAUUAAAAUAACUAAUGGAAAAAAUAAAAAAGAAUAAUUAAUUUAUAAAAUUUAAUUAUUUUUGUUAUUUUGAUAUAAAAAAUAGUACUAAACAAGGUUUUCAAUUUUCAUUUUUAAAAAUAGUUUUCAUUUUUUAAUUAAACAUAUUUUCAAAAAGAGACAAUAUUGAAAAUAAAAAUCAUUUUUAAAAAAUAAAUAAAUAAAAACUUGAAAAAUAUUUUUAAACCAAACUCAAACAUAAUCUAUAUAAUUUUUAACUACUUGUUUUCACCUAAAAUGAAUAAAUAUAUCAUUCAACCAUUUUAUAUAAGAAAAAUCCAAUCUUUACUACACUAUGUAUUGAUAUAAUCUACAUCUAAAAUUAGGUCAUAUGAAAACAUUUUUGUUGGAUAUUUAAAAUAAAAAAAUCUCCGUUCAUUAUCUUUUUCUCUUAUUUAUUUAUUUAUUUUGAUAAAUUUUUAAUUAAUUCAAAUCAUUAAAAAAAUCUUUAUUAGACAAAUUUGCAACAUUUUAUAUAACUUAUAACCAAAAGUCAUGUUAAAAAUGUUAUUAAAAUAAGGAAAGAAGAAGAUUAAAAGAAAAUUUAAACUUUUUAUCUUAGAAUAGUAAAAAAAAAAAACUUUAAAAUGCUUUUUAGUAUAUAUUUAUUUUAAAAAAUGUUUUAAUCAUUAAUUUUUUUUACUUCUAAAAUGUAAAAAUUAGUUUUUAUUCAUUUAAAUUAACAUAUUUUUUAGAAAGUAUUUUUCAAAAUAGUUUUUGUUUAUUUAUUAUUUAAAAAUAGAAAAUAAUGUUGAUUUUUCAAUUAUUUAUAAAAGAGUUUAAAAAAACAAUGAAAAUUUUAAAAACUUUGUUAAAUAAAAGAUAAUUUAUUGGAAGUGGUAUGUGAAGAGUGGUGGAAUAAAUACAAAAAUGAUGGGUUCCACAAGUACCAUAUGAGCUAGUACAAUUUAUUAUUGGGAGAAUUGUGUUUUGGGCCAACUAGACUCAAAAAUUAACAUUUGGUUCAUAUAUCAUGCAUAUUUAAGCCCAAGACCCAAACAAAGUAUGAAAAUUAAGAUGAAGGAUAUUAUCUUUGAUUAAUCCCUAAAAUACCUUUAACCCUUACAUAGACACAAGUGAGUGUGAAUUUCAAUUUUUGUGUGUUUUUUUUUCCUUUUUCUAUUCCCCAUUAAGUAUUACUCAUUUCUAACUUUCUUCUUUCUUUUUCUUCCAAUUUAUAUUUCUAUUUUAUGUCAAAUAAAAAGCAAUAAUGUUUUUUUUUGUUUUUCAUUUUUAAAGAUAUUGAUAAAAAUUUUGGGAUUUUUCGUCCAAAUAUUUUUUAUCUUUUUGUAUUUAUCUUUUAGUUUAAUUUUCAUUUUUUAUUUUAAAUUUAUAUUACCCUUCCAUUUAUAUUCUUCCCUUAUUUUUAAUUAUUUUUUAUAUUUUCUACAUUAACCAUAUUUUAAAAAAUUUAAAAAUUGACUAUCACUUCACUUUAUUAUAUAUAUAUAUAUAUAUAUAUAUAUAUAUAUCCUUUUAGCUUUUUAAUUUUUAAUGUUUUUAUUUUAAAAUUUUUAAAAAGAUAAAUUUAUUGAAAAAAAUAACUAAGAUAUGAAAUUCUAAUAUUAUAUUAAUAAUUUUUCUUAUCUAGAUAGACUAAUGCAAAGUAUUUUGACUCACAACAAGUAAAUUGUCAAUACAAUUUUUUAGUUAAACUUUAGAAAUUAAAUUUCAAAUAAAAUAUAUUAUAUAAAAUUUUAUCUAAAAAUUAUUGAAAGUGGUAUUUAUUUAUUUUUUUUAUUGACUUUCAAACUUAUCUAAUUUUUUACUUGAAAGGUAAUAGAACAUGUUUACAAAAAAUAAAAUAAAAAAUUAGUUUUUCAUUUUUUAAAUAAAUGAGUAUAAAUAUAUUAAAAGAAUUAAAGAUAAUCUUAGUAAAAUUUUUUUAUAAAUAUGAUUAUAAUUUUAAAUAUAAAUUCAUUUGGAUAAAAUUUCACAAAAAAAAAAAAAAAAAAAUAGUGGAAAGAAAGAACAUUGCUAAAACUACAAAAACAAAAUAUGCAAUUACAAAAUUUUGAUGAUGAAAUUUAAAAAUAAAAUUUGAAACAAUUCUUGAGUGAGAGAAUUUGAGUGGUGAAAAAAUCUUUGAGUGGAAAAAAAUGGGAAAGUUUUUCAAAAUCACUUGAAAUCCUUAACAAAAAGUAGUCUUGUACACCUUUGUACAAUUAGUAAAUUUGUCUUAUACAGUUAGUGUAAUACUCUUGUACAAUAACUCAAAUUUCAUACAUCAUCUUAUGAAUAUCUGAUAAUAGGUCGGUUAACCAUGUUUGCAUUUGUUUGGUUUUUAAAAAGAAGAAAAAUUGUUGUAUAAUUUUGUUUUACAAUCAUCAUAAGUGAGGUACCUAUUCAAAUGACCAUAUACAAGUUAGAUAAAGUGCAUGAGAUGAAUGUAUGCUUAACCAAUGUGUGUAAAGGAAUGUCAUUUAUCAUCGGUUAGGGGAAAUAAACAAACAAGUUUUUCAAAAUCACUUAAAAUCCUUCACAAAUAAUAGUCUUGUAUACCCUUGUAUAGUUAGUGUAUUUGUCAUGUACACUCAGUGUAAAUACCUUGUACAGUGACUCAAAUUCCAUAUACCCCCUACUUAAUGUGUAACCAUAGGUAGGUUAACCAUGUUUUCAUUGGUUUGUUUCAAAAAAUAAUGGAAGAUGGAAAAACAAAAUUUUCUCUCAAACAUCAUUAGUGGGAUAAGUAUUCGAAUUAUCAUGUGCGAGUUAAAUAAAGUGUAUAAGAUGAGUGUGUAAUAGAGGAAAGUGUACCUUAAGAGUGUGCAAUCCUUAGAUGACAAGACAAAAAAAAAGUUGUCCAAAAUUGAUUAAAAUAUUUCACAAAGGAUAUCCUUGUAUACCCCUUGUAUAGUUAGAACAUUUGUUUUGUACAGUUAGAACAUUUGUCUUGUCCAAUUGAACAUUUGCCUUAUCUAAUUGAACAUUUACCUUGUACAAUUAGUACAACACCCUUGUACAAUUGUGCAAAUUUCAUCCAUAUGCAUACAUUAUGUGGCACAUAUAAUGUGUGAACCAUGUUUCCAAUGGCUUGAUUUAAAAAAUGAUAUAAAACGUAAAAACAAAAUUUUUCCCUAAACAUCAUUAUUAAGGUAAGUAUUUGAAUUAUUAUAUGCGAGUUAAAUAAAGUACAUGAACAUGAAAUAAAAGAAUUUGUGGUAGGAGAACGUAUAAUCCUUAGAUUAUAUGUUAUUUUCAAUAGUUUGACAUUUAAAAUAAUUAAAACAAAUAAAAUGUUAUUUUAUUUUAUUUUCAAUGCAAAAUGUAAUUAAAAAUAAGAUAAAGAAAUUACUUAAAAACUAUUUUUUAAGCCAAGUUUAUUUAUUUAUUUCCUUUUAUUUUUGGAAAUAAAGAAAAAAGAAUAAAAAAAUUUAUUUAACCAUAAGAAAUAUGAAUAUAAGACCAGUUAGAAAAUACCAAAUUUAUUUAUUUAUUUCAUUUUAUUUUUGGAAUUAAAGAAAAAAAAAUUAUUUAACCAUAAAAAAUACUGAUAUAAGAUAUGUUAAAAAAUAGAAAUUACCCCAAAUUUAUUUACUUAUUUCAUUUUAUUUAUUUAAAUUAGAAAGUAAUUUAUUUUAAUUAAAAUGUGUACAAUUGAUUUAUUACUUUGUUAAUUAUGUAUAUAUUAAAAUUUUCUAUUGGACAAAAAAUAAUUAAAAAAAUAAAAUUAAAAAGAGUAAUAAAUAUAUAUAAUUUAGUUAUUUAAUUAUUUUUCAUGUAAAAGAUAGUCUCUACAAAAAACACAUAAUUGAUCAAUUUCUAUGUUUAAUUGUAAACAUACUAUAUAUUUUUUUUAUUAAAAUAACUAAUGGAAAAAAAUAAAAAUGGAUAAUGAAUGAAAUUUAUUUAUUUUUUUAUUAUUUUCAUAUAAAAAAUAGUACUAAACAAGGUUUUCAAAUUUUAUUUUUCAAAAUAGUUUUCAUUUUUUAAUUAAAUGUUUUUUGAAAAAGAAAAUAUAAAAAAUAUAAAUCAUAUUACUAUUUUUUAAAAAAGUAUUUUUAAAAAUAGUUUUUGAACAUAAUUUUUCUUUAUUUAUAAUUUAAAAUAGAAAAUAAUGCUGAUUUUCAAUUAUUUAUAAAAAAUUUUAAAAACAAUAAAAAAUCCAUCAAUUAUCUUUUAAAAGGUAAUUUGAAGGAUAUAUUGGUCUUUUAACAUCUUAUAUCAUUUCCAUCAAUUAUGGACGUUAUAUGGACCAAAUGUUAAUUUUUGGGCUCACUCACAAUUCUCCUUUUAUUAUUUGAGAUAUUUGAUGUGAUAAGUCAAAUGGAUAUUUUCGUCUAUUACUAUCUCGUACCCUUGUAUUUAAUUAUGGGCCAUAGGAAAGGGACCUUGGAAUAAAUACAAAAAUGAUGGGUCCCACAAGCACCAUAUGAGCUAGUACAAUUUAUUAUUUGAGAUAUUUGAUGUGAUAAGUCAAAAAUGUAUUUUUGUCCGUUACUAUCUCGUACCCUUAUAAUUAAUUAUGGGCGAUAGGGGAGGGACCUGUGCUAAUUAUUAUGUCUAGUUGGGUUAAAAAUACAAUUCUCCCUAGCAAUUUUCAAUGUCAAUUAUCUAGUGAUAAAAAGUAUUUGUAAAAAAACAACUUAGUGAUAAAACAAUAAAAAAUAAUUUAAAACAAUUAGAAAAUGUUAUCAUAAAACAUCUAAUUUUGAGACAAGUUCUUACAAACUAAUUUCCAUAAAAAAAUCACUAACCAACCGGGCUGCGGGGGCUAUUUGUUUCCAAAGGUCGUUUGAGAGCCAAGUGAAGGGGACUGUUUUCAUAUUACUGGGGUUUUGAGACGGUAUGCUCGGUCGGAGCUUAUUGGGCUUUUUAUGCCAAGCUGGGAGUCCUCUCAGAUGGGUUGUCUUAAUAACUCAGCAGUGAUGGCUUGGGUUGAGCAGCGAAGGCCUUUUUCAACGAUCGACUGGGCCUCUUUUCUUAUGUGGAAAUAGGCCUUUUUCAAACGGAUGCCUUAGGGAUGAGCCCGAGCUGCAAAACCGCUAGCAGUUAGUGUCUUGGUGGCGCCACCUGUAACCAGUCUCCGCAAAAGCAAUAGCCCCGAAACACGACACGUUAGCGUUCUCAUCAAUAAACAUCUGUCAGCAACGAUCCCAACAUUUCCCAACCGCCACAAUCCUCACACCAAAGCCCAUCAAAACCCUCCCUCCAGCUAUUCACAAACCAAAGCGAAAGAAUCAAUGAUGGAGAAAAGAGUGGCUUCGGGUUCGGGAGUCCAGAAUAAGAGACCUAUGAAAAAGAACAACAAGAAGAAAUGGCUGCAGAAAGUGUUAGACUAUCUUAAAUCCGAUUCCUACAUGUUUGCUCCCUUAAUUUUUCACCCAACAAAUUCUGCUGCUGCCCCAGGUUUUCAUUUAUACAUGCAUUUUUUGCCGCCCCUUUUUUCCUGUUUAGUGGGUUUUCGGAAAAUUAAUAGAAUGUUAUUAUGGGUCAGGGGUGGAAAUGACAAAACCCAUCAAGGAAGACAACAGGACACUGCUAGAGAAGGUGGAGGAGUAUCUGAAAUCUGAUAAUUACAUGUAUGCUCCCUUAAUUAUUACUCAACCGAUGCAUGUUCCUGCUGCUAAGGCUAUCGAAUCUCCUCAGACAGGUGCUUACUUUCACUCCAAACUUAUACUGUGAGAAUUGAAACAUAGCAAUUAUAGCCUUAUAGGAAGGCAUAAAGAAGUGGUUCCAGAGUGUUUGGCUACUCUGUGAUACCCAAUAUUCUUGUGAUGUAAAUUGUAAAUUUAUUCUAUUCAUCUUGUCCUGAUCACCUUUGGAUUUGAACUUGUUUCAUUCUGUUUUAACUAUACAGAAUCAUUUUUUUAUUUUUUUUAUUUUUUAUUUUUUUAUCAUGUUUAGAUUUCCUUUCAAGUUGAAUUUAUUUCAUUCUACUACUGAUUGAACUCUGUAUCUCCCUUGGAAAUAAAAUUGUUUAUCUUCACAAUAUUUGAAUGUGCAAGUCCAUCCUUGAGAAUGAAGUGUUUACAAGGAGUGAUAGACAUGCAGUCAGAUGCACUUUCUUUAUUUUUUAUAAGAGUAAAUAUUCUUAUAAGCAUGAAUUUCUAAUAUAAGGUGAUACACUUGCUACACUACUAUCUGAGGUCUGCUACAGUAAUACCCUUUUGCUAUUUGCUCUAAUUUAUGGCCUAUGUGUGGUUAAGUUCAUAAGUCUCUCUCUGUUUUUGCCACAGCUUAAUCCAUGUUCUUCUCCUUGUCCUUGUUUUGUGUUGAAUCAGAAUCAUUAUUGCUUACCAGAGGUGAAUGGAAAGUUUCAGGGACUUUUGGAAACGUGAGGGGGCUGUUGAUUGGUUGGUUCUCUGUAGGAAUUGUUGUUUUUUCUGGUAAUGGAAGAUCUAAGUAAGUUUAUCUCCAAGCAUUCGAGGAAAUAGUGUUGGAGGGCUUUUAGGGUGAGGGCUGGAGGAUCUCCUCUUGAAGAAGUUCCUAACAUUUAAUGUGCAGAUAUGCUUAUCUUUUUUGGGCGAUGGGCAGUUAAGAUUCUUUGAAUUAUUUCUAUUUGCUUUAAGGCAGCUUCUGGUUUUUAAGGAUGAGCAUGGGGAAAAGUUACAAGGUGUUAGUUUGGGAUUCAGACAAUGCUAGUCUCUUGGUGAGGCAUAUAAGUUAUGGUGUAGGAGAUCUUCCAAAUAUUCCUCUUGAGCUUGCUAACAGUUAUACUUUUGAUUCUAGACCAUUGUUGGCAGUUUUGGGAUACUGUGAUUGAAUUCUGAGAAAAAAGUUUUUAGAUGGAUGGAAAAAUCUUCUCUUUUAAAGGGGGAGACUCAGCUCACUAAAAGUAAUCUUUUUGCCUUUCUCCAUUAUUGUUGUUUCUUUGUUUGCCAUUCUAGGGUUCGGGACCUGAGGGUGGAGGCAUAUCUUUCCUCUUUUAACUCACAACUGUGCACUAGGAUUGUAAGAAGCAUAUUAAAAACCAAUGGGCUACAAGGCCGAUGGGGUGAAUUGGGAAGGAAAGAUGGAAUUCAAGCUACCAAUUCAUAUGGGUAGACUGAAAUAUAAAUGACUAACCCACCAUUAGCUUGCCAAAGUUGAGCAGUGGAAAUUUUUUUAAUUUAGGAGCAGUAUUGGAAUCCAAAAUAACAAGUUGCUAGUCCAACUAAACAUCCAUAGAGUUAACAUCUCAAAUCUAGAAGUGUUGGAAGAUGUCUCUAUGAAGAACUAUGAAUUGUAUUUCUCUGCUUCAAACUGUGCAAAAUUGAUUCCUAUUUGUACAAGAAUAGCUACUGAAAAAUAAGGAAAGUUGACUAACUAAUAAUCCCUACAAACCAGGGAUUUAAAACAGCCAAUAUGACUAAUAGUCCUCCAGCUGUCCAUGUGUUGAGACAUAAGGUCUAUAAAUCAAAUUGCUCUUUGAUUUUUCUUUGAUGAAAUGUCAUCCACUUCAACAUGUUUGGUGCAAUUGUGUUAGACCAGAUCGUAAGCAAUGUUGAUGGCAAAUUUUUUGUCACAGUAUGGUUUCAUAGGACCACACCACUUGAUUUUUAGGUCAUCAAGGAUGAUUUUCAGCCAUAGAAGCUCACAAAUGCCAUGAUCCAUGGCUCAAAAUUUAGCUUCCACACUUGAUCUAGUCACAACUAUUUGUUUUUUGCUUCUCGAUGUCACCAAGUUUCCUCCUAGUAAAAUGCAAUACGCUGAGGUGGACUUUAUAUUUAUAAUCGAACAUGUCCAGUCAGUGUUUGUGUAUACUUCCAUCCACAAUAGUUCAUUAUUUUUUAACACUAUAACUUUCCUCGGAGUAUACUUCAGAUAGCAGAAGACCCUAGAUGUUGCCUCCAUAUGUACUGCUUUUGGAUUGUGCAUAAAUUGAUUGAUUAUGCUCAUGACAUAAGCUAUGUUUGGCCAUGCAUGUGAGAUAAAUAGAUCAGUUUGCCAACCAACCUUUGAUACACACCUCUAUCUACUAUAGCAUCAUCAUUAGCCUCCCUUAGCUUGUGGUUUGGCUCAAUUGGGUGUCAAUUGGCUUGCAUCCUAGCAUCUUACUUUUGUUGUGACACAAAAAUUUCUCUAAUUGAACUUGUCACUUUAAUACCAAAAAUGUAUUUGAGCUUUCUAAACUCUGUUAUCUCAAACUUGUGUUAAUUUCUUUCAAAGUGCCUCUUUUUCCAUUGGAUUAUUACCUGUCACUAUUAUAUCAUCAAUGUACACUAUUAACACUGUAAUCCUCCUUUGGCUGAUUGUUCUAUGAACAACAUGUGAUCUCCUUGGCUUUGCUUCUAUCUCAUUUCUUUCGUCACUUUAUUAAAUCAUCUAAACCAUGCUUUAGGAGAUUGUUGUAGUCCAUACAAUAAUUUCUUUUAAUCUGAAAAACCUUGUUCCCAUAAAAAAAAACUUGUCAAAAUCACCUCUUGUCUCCAUAUGCACUUCUUCUUUUAGCUUGCCAUGCAAGAAAGCAUUCUUGACAUCUGUUGCAAACACCAAUCAAGAUUAGUUGUUAAAGAUGAGAAAACUCAAGCAGUAUUUAUUUUAGCCAUGAGUGCCAAAGUCUUUUGGUAGUCGACCCCAUAAGUUUUGAGUGUAGCCUUUGGCUACUAACCUAGCCUUAUAUCUUUCUAGGGAUCCAUCAACCUUAUGUUUCACAAUAAACACUGGUAGAUUGCUUUCCUUUUGGAAGACCCACUAUUUCCCAUGUUUGAUUUUUAUUCAAUGCAUUCAUUUCCUCCUCCAUAGCAUGAUUCCAAUUCUUGUCUUUUAGUGCCUCAUGUAAUGCUGGAGGAAUUUGAACAGAUUUUAUUUUAAUAGAUGUUCCAAUUCCAAAAAUUUGGAAAAAAAUCCACCUCAGAUUUGUGUUUUAAAAGAAAAAGCUAGGUUAUCCUAGUGCAAUCAUUAACAAAAGACACAAAUCAUCUUGCACCUGAAAAAUAUUGGGAAUUUUUUAUGGUCCCCUAAUAUCUGAAGGAAUUAAAGUAAGUGGAGAAAAAGACCUUGUACCGGUUAAUGGAAGUGAAACACAGUGGUGUUUGGAAAACUCACAAACAUCACAAUGAAAUGAGUCAACAUCAACAAUUGUAAACAAUGAAGGGGACACAUCUUAUUGUUCACUAAAUGUUGGAUGUCCAAGGCAGAAAUGAAGAAGCUAAAUCUCAUUUUUAUUGGAAUAAAUUUUCUUGGAUGGGUAAGGAAAACAAGGUUGAUAAUCGUUGCCAUUCUUGGUCUCAAGAAGAUAGAGUUUGUCCUUUGCUUUUAGAAUGUCCAAUCUUCCUCCCCAUAAUCCAAUUGAAAGACAAUGAGUAGGAUAGGAUGUUACACAACAAUUUAACUUUUUGGCAAUUUGAUGUUUGGCCAGCAAUUUUACAGAUAGUUUAGAACAUGUAACAAGUAUUUUAAUGAUAUAGAGGAGGUGAGAAACACUUCCCCUUGACCAGCUACUGUUUCUGAAGAUCCAAUUACAACUUUUAUCUUUCUAUUUCUAGGACAUGGGUUAUAAGUAACAAAUAAUUGAGAGAAGUUUGUCAUGUGGUUGGUUGCUUCUGAGUCCAUGGCCCAAAAACUACCAAAAAACAAUUUUUGAGGUGCUAAAGGUGCAAGAGUUGGGAAACCUACCUGUUUGAGCCAAUGAACAUUUAUUGAGUAUUGAGGAGAUUUUUUUGCCUUUCUAUCUCUUCUCUAUUGAUUUCUCCUCUGUCCAAACAAUUAGAACUUGAAUUUUAUCCACAUUGAGGAGAUUCUCCACAUUAGUUAAGUGGACUUAGCCCCUGUUGUCUGCCUCUAAAGCAUUUGUACACACUACUACUUGUUGUUUCCCAGGAAGUUUCCAGCAAGAUUCCCUAGCAUGGCAAGGUUUCUUGCAGUAGGUGCACCAUACACGCUCUUGGUUGUUUGCCUUGAAGGAUUCUGCAGCAGUGUACUUCACUGGAGCUUCGGCAACAUUCUUACUGGUUCCAUCACUUAAUCGAGAUGAAAUCAUGGUUGAUCCUUCAAUGGACUGAGCAUCACACUUUGUCAGCUUUCUUCAGCUUGAAUAAUCAAAGAAAAUACCAUUUAAUGAAGGAAGAGUUUCCUUCCCAAAAAUUUGCACCCAGACUUGAUCAAAUUCAACAAUAAAGCUUGUGAGAAAUCCAAAGAUUCUCUCCCUCUUGACAAUCCUUUGUAGCAUCACUGCAUUGUUGCUACACUUCAUUCUAAAGUUCUGAUAAUAGUCUAAUUUGACCCAAACACCUUUCAUCAUAUUAAAGUACUCGAUAAUGGAUAAGUUACCUUGUUUGAUGCCUAAGAUUUUGGUCUUGAUCUUAGAUUUGGACUACAUCAUAUACUUUCUAAUAGGUUCAUCCAAUGGUUUCCCAAAUUUCCUUCGUAGUUGAUAAUAACUUACACUUUCCAUUAUUUUCGGCAAUAUGGAAUUCCACAACCAUGACAUGACCAUGGAAUCUUCUUCAUCUCACUCAAUAAAUGUGGGAAUAGAUGGUCUAGUACCUAUCAAAUGAGUCAGCUUGCCUUUUCCCUUGGAAAACAUCUUUACCACUUGUUACCAUUAGAAAUAGUUAUUGCCAUUCAGUUGGUAUGAGAGAUGGAGAUUUGGAAGUUCCUCUUUUAUUGAGUUUUGUUGAGUUCCUAUGAACUGAUUCUCAACUAUUGUAAUGAUGGGAUUAAUUUUGGAUGCUUCUAACAGGGCUGGAAGUAAAGCAGGAUUGUGGUUUUUCUGCCUACAAAGGUUGUAGGUUUUCGAGAGUGUAGGUUUCAGAAAUGCUUGGAUACUAUGUGGAGAACUAUGAAUUGUAUUUCUCUGCUUCAAACUGUACAGAAUUUGAUCGCUAUUUAUACAAAAAUAACUAUAGAAAGAAAAAUAAGGAAGGUUGACUAACUAAUGAUCCCUACAAAUCAGGUAAUUAAUCCCUACAAGUUAGGGAUUUAAAUGGAAAAAUAUAACUACCUAAUUUACAGUUUAGAAUUAUACAAUCUUUCCCAAUUAAUCUUGAUAUCACACAGAUUUCAACAGUCUCAAGUUCCUUAUUAAGUUAACUUUUGCUUUUAGGAGAGUCCCUUUUAGAAAAGAAUAUUGUUUAGGAGAUCUCCAAUUCUGGUAUUUAUUUUGGGAAAUAGGUUUUUAGUUGAUAAGGAAAAAUUUGGGAAUAUCUCUAUAAAUAUUACUGGUAUAAGAAAAGAAAAAAUUUUAAAAAAAAUGAAGUUGUACUUGUAGAAGCUAUCUCAUGUAUAUAGAGAUAUGUUAAAUUGAUGGGUGAAGAAUAUAUGACUUUUUGGGGCUUGAGUUUAAGAUGAUGUAAAUAUUUAGAGAUAGUUGGCUGAACUACGUCAAGACCUGGUGUCUUUGUUCAUGAAUUGAUUUGUCUUUUCUAUUAUUGCUCAAAAUAUAGAUUCAAUUUUCCACUAGCUCAAACAAUUAGUCAAAGACCCUUAUUCCUUCAAGUCAGACCUCAGAAAUGAUAGAUAUAAAAUAGUAGUGUUAACUGUACCUUGGUUCAAACUAGGAGUAAAUUCGAACACAUGUCAUCAUAUUCACACCUCAUCCACCUUAUGGUCACUUGAAAGGGUGGAAAAUGGGGUGAGCUUACAACUUAGUAAGGAAUGAUAUUAUAUCAAGUUAGGUCAAGUGACUUUUUCAGAGCAAAAUAUCAAAGUGAAGAACAUUGUGUUUCAAAUAAUGUCAACCAGAUACAUCUGUUCAAAGAAAAUUCCAUCAAUUUUUCAAAUAUAAUCAUUCCUAGCUUUGUUAGAGGAUUUAGACAUCCUAUUUUCUCAAACUAUGGUUUUUCUCAAAUUCUUUGGUUCCCUCAUAAACAACCAUCCUAAUAUGGGUCUAAAAAGAAUGCAUCAUCAGUGGGGGACUGAAGGCUAAAAACAUUGCCCUCCAAAGCCAAGGCCAAACAAGGUGGGCAACCUCAUGGUUGUUCCUAUUAGUGAUGAGCAAACAGGAGUGACAGUCCUGAAGGCCUCUUAUCUCCUAGUUGCUGAGGUCCAGUGCAUUGUGGUCAUCUCCGAGGGAUAUCUCAUUUGAUGCUAACUAGUGUCAAACAAAUAACAUGAGUCUUAUAUAAAACAUAGCAUGUCCUUAGAAUCAAAUCAUAUGGUUGCAAUUAAAAAUGUAAUUUUAUAUUCCCAGUCUAGAGUUCAAACAACAAAUGGCCUAAGUCUAAUUUACAUACUUCCAAAAUAAGUUAAUGAAUCUACAUUAUUUGAGACCAAAAAAUGUUCAUUGUUAAUUAAACAGAUGAAAAUAUCAAUACAAGUUACAUGGUUUUCAGAACAUAUGUAUAAUGUUCCUUGGCAUACUACAGUUGUGGAUCUUUGUUACUUGAUGGUGAACCUAUCCAAACUGCUCCCUUGAUCAUGUUAUUUGUGCCCUAGCAUGAAACAAUAAAUUAGACAUCAAUUUGUUAUCAUACAUUUUCUGAUCCUAGGCCUCAGUUGGAAUCAGUAAAAGCUCCUAAGUUAUAUUCCAUAUUCUGUUUUCUAGGUUUUGACAUUAAUUCCACACAUUUCAUAAUUUUCCAAGUCUUCUAAUGCUUGAUCAAUUGAUUUGUAAAUCUCCCAGCUCCUUUGUUUGAUAUUGGCUCCAAGCUGCCUAUUUCCUUUCAUAACAGUUUCUAGAAUUGUCCAACUUAUUCUAUUGGCAUUAUCAAGAUUCAAUGAUUCAUAUAUGAAAAUGAAGGGGGAUGGGUAUAGAUUGUGAAAUAAAAUGCAACUUUAGAGAUGCAGAUGUGAAGAUUUGCAAAAGAAAGAGAAAAAAGCUUGCUUUGGUUUAGAUUCCCUUGUUAGGUGUAGGUUGUGGGUUUUGAAUAUGUCAUUUCAAAUUAUAAACAUUUUUCACAUUCAUCUAUUAGUAUGAUUUAUUUGAUUUCACAAUUCAACCACAAGGCGAAAAAAAUAAAAGGGAGCAAGAUGCAAAAUCACAUGGAAACCUUCCUUCAAAGUUCUUUCUACCUAUUCAUAGGGAAAAAUCACUAACCUAGGUUCCACUAAAAUCAAAUAAAAACUUUUAUUGAAUUAAGUGAUCUUGGUCUAGUCAUAGGACUUGAGUUCACCUUUUGAAACUCUUCAAGGCUUAACAGGUCAAUGAUGUUUGUUAACCUCUUCUCAAGGAUGCAUAUGAACUCAGUUUGUCAUUUCAUACUCCACCCAAGCCUAGCCUUAUUAGCCUCCUUAGAACUUCACCAAGGAUUUCAUUUUCACCCUAAAGAGCUGAUCAUGAACUGCAUAUAAUGAGAUGAGAGUACGGUAAUAUAUUUUCAAAAUCCCAAUAAAUCUACAUUCAACCUUAGAUGAUGAUAACCUUAAGGACCAAGAACAAUGAGAUCUCCUUGAAAAUUAGCUCUAUUUGUCUUUCUAAAAGAAAAAAGAAAAAAAAAAAGAAAGAAAGAAAGAUCCUGUUGACAUAUUCUAAAUAAUUUUGUAUUUAUUUCUUUCCUUUUCUUUCUUGGUAAAAUAUGAUUUAUGAGAGAUACUAUAGGAUAAUAGGAGGUAGGUAAAUAGGAUCCUUGAUUUAUAGGAGAGAUUUUAAGGGAAUCUAAUCCCCAAUUGUGUAUAAAUAGGAAGUAGAUAUUGUAUUCUAAAAAAAUUCAAGGAGAGCAGAAUUUAUUUCAUGGUAUUAGAGCUAGGGCUCUCUUUUGCAUCCUAAGUUUUUUUUUGUUUUUUUGUUUUUUUUUUCUUUUCUUAGCCUUUAAUUGUGGAGAAUUUUGCCGCACUUGUAGACCUUCUUUGCUAGCAGCAAAACUCAUUGAUGCCUAUCUCCUUCCUUUGAAUUUUUUGGUCUACAUAGCCUUAUAAAAUUUCCCCCUCCUAGAUUUACAAAAAUUAUUCCUGAUUUGCUCUAAUAUGUUUGACGUAUCAAAAAUCAUCCUAUCUUCAAACUUUGCUCCUAACUUGACUAGCAAUAACCCUUCUGUAGAAUAUCAAAAUCUACAAAAUCCAUUAAAACUUAGUGACCAUAAUUAUUUGGUGUGGUCUCUACUGGUGUGAAUGUUUUUGGAGGGAAAAAGAAAACUAAGUCAUUUAAUUGGACAUGUCCCAAGUGAAAAUCCAAAGUUCAUUGUAUGAGAUGAAGAGGACACAAUGUUUUUCAUGGUUAUGGAAUUCAAUGCAACCAAAGAUCAACGAGACAUGCAUGUUCUUGAUGAUAGCUAAAGAUAUUUGGGAGAUUAUUAGGCAAAUAUACUUCAAAGUAAGGGAUGCUACCCAUAUCUACGAAAUAAAGACCAAGAUUAGUGUUACCAAGCAAGGUACUUUUUCUGUUACUGAAUAAUAUAAUAUCAUGAAAAGCUUAUGGCUAGAAUUAGAUUACUAUCAGAAUAUUAAGAUGAAGUGUAGAGAAGAUGUUGCCAUGAUUCUCAAAUAUGUUGAAAGGGAAAGGAUAUUUGAUUUUUUAGUGAGUCUUAAUUUGGAAUAUGAUCAAGUUAAGAUUCAGGUCCUUGAAAGGAAGAUGUACCUCCUUAAAUGAAGUCUUCUUCAUUAUAAGAGCAGAAGAAGGAAGGAGUGUUAUGCUUGACACUCCAAUAACAGAAGGUUCAGCUCUUGUCACCAUGAAGCCAAACUCCACAUUGCCAAACAACAAUUAUGGAAUAAGUGAAGUGUCUAGAUUGCCAAUCAACAAAAAUGGUUUGUGGUGUGUCUAUUGCAAAAAACCGAGGCAUACAUGUUGGAAAUUCUAUGGAAAGCCACAAUCAUUUGGUAGAGGGAAUGGAAAUCGAUAUGCACAAUUUGGACAAUGGAAUGGUCAAGCCCAUAUUGCUCAAUCUAAAAGAGAAUUCCCAACCAAAAAUCUCAGCUUCUAAUGAUUCAAAUGUUAGUAUAUUAAACAGAGAAGAGAUUGAGAGGCUCUGUAGCCUUCUGACUUCAAUGGAUAAGCCUACUACUUCAUGGUCUCUCUCCUAAUCAAGUACCCCAUUUCUUAUGUUUUUGGUGUUUAAAAGGACUGUUUUUCCAAUUAAGAGGCUUCGUAGUCUUCGUAGUCUUUUGACUUCAAUGGAUAAGUUUACUGCUUUAUGCUCUCUUGCUUAAUCAAGUAAGCAUCUAAUUUCUCAUGUUCUUGGUAUUGGGAACCUCGAAUUACUCCAAUCCCAUGCCCUGGAUCUCAUUGGGUGCAUGUAUCUAUCCUUAGGGAUUUCUAAAUUUAUCAUAGUGGAAUAAAAUGACAAAAAACCAUUAUUAACUAUAGAUCGAGAGAUAACACUCAUACUUGGAUUUGGAUGUUCCCAAAUCAAAAUUCAUCCAAUGAAGAACUUGCUUGAAUACUUUAUAAGCAUCUAAUUUCUCAUGUUCUUGGUAUUGGGAACCUCGACUUACUCCAAUCCCAUGCCCUGGAUCUCAUUGGGUGCAUGUAUCUAUCCUUAGGGAUUUCUAAAUCUAUCAUAGUGGAAUAAAAUGACAAAAAACCAUUAUUAACUAUAGAUCGAGAGAUAACACUCAUACUUGGAUUUGGAUGUUCCCAAAUCAAAAUUCAUCCAAUGAAGAACUUGCUUGAAUACUUUAGAAGUCUCAUACACCCAAAGUUUUUUGCUCUAUGACUCGAACCAUGUCCAUAGCACUUUGAAGAGUGAACUUUGGAAGGGUGGAUGCUUAGACUCUCUCUCUUUGGAUCUAGGAGACAACAGUCGAAAGGCCAUUAGGAAACCCUAAUCCAUAAAAGAGUAUUUAUAAGAUUCCUCUAUUGGGCUUAAGUGACUUAAGUCCACAUGGACUUAGAUCACUUAAUCUAGUCCAAAAGGGUUCUUAAUUAAUUAAUUAACUACACAGGGUUAUCUAAUUAAUCAAUUACCACAAUUUAGAGACCUUAUUCACUAUCCCCUAUCUAACCUUGCAUAAUUACCAAAAUGCUCUUAUGCACAAGAGUAAACCACAAGCGAAACCAACCCUUAUAAACCAUGUCAAUAUAGUUAUGAGCUCAGAGCGAGGCCACUAGGACCCAUAGGAGUAUUGGUUCUCUUAGAAUUCAAUUUUGAAGUUGAUUCAACAUCUCACUAUAGAGAAUAUACUAUACUUUAAUACCUUAUGUAAAUAACAACAAGACAAGGCUCAGAUUCGUGACCUACUAUUCACCACAUACAAAACCCUCGUGAGUUGGUGUUCCUAAUCUAACAAGGUAUUGUCAUCACCUAUCAAGAUUACUUCUCCAAUUAUUGAGUUAUGAAUCUCACUUAUUACUACGACAAGAAGCAUAUGUCAAAUUCCACUAAAGGAAUUACUACGGUCACAAAUUUCAUGAUCACAUGUCCUUUGGAUCAACUAAUGAGACACAUUAUUUCAAUAUUAGGAGAUAUCAUGGUGCUUUUAUUGAGAAUACUUAUUGCCACCAACCUUCAUCAACAAUUACCCAAUUCAUAAAGAUAUAUGAUCAUUUUAAAGUUUCACCUAUUGGUCAAAACCUCUUGUUAAUUUUGACACAAUCUCAAUGUACUCUCAAGGUUAAGAGUCCAUGCAGUAUAGUAGGUGAAUCAUGAUAAUCGAUAGCCUUACAUCAUGAUUCAUCGUACGUUCUGUCUAGUGUGCAUCACAUACAUAAGUGCACUCACUAGGGGAAACUCAUCCUGACAGCCAAGACAAGUUAUCCCUCCAAUUACAAUCUCUAUUGGAUUGCCCAAAUCCAUGAACUGAUUGUAAACAAAUUAUCUACUUACAAGGAAUUCAUGACUUUUAUCCUCUAUGUAACUCUUAAUGCACACAAAUUAUGUACAAUGUAAGAGAUAUGGGUUGAAUGCUCAAAUCAAUAUCAAUAUGUAAAAGGAAUAGUAAGGGGAUAGUCAAGCUUGACUUUGUUACAAAAUGUCUUGUUUUUAGGGGUUCAAUCUCAACACUUGGUGUUUCAAAUGACCGUUUCACAAGUACUUGGGUCAUUGACUCAAGUGCUAUUGAUCAUAUGACCUUUUCUUCAUAUCAUUUAUCUUCUUAUAAUCUAUGUUUUGGGGAUGAAAAAAUUAAAUUUGCUGAUGGCAUACCAGCAACUAUGGCAGUCCAAGGAAAAAUUGCUUUAACUUUAGUUCUCACAUUAAAAUCCAUGUUACAUGUUCCAAAAUUUUCAGCUAACCUCGUCAAUUCAUCAAAUUACUAAAGAUUUGAAUUGUAUAGUCACCUUUUUCCCAUCUCAUUGUGUGGUUCAGGAUUGAGACACGGGGAGGACGAUUAGGCAUGCUAAGGAAUAGGAGAGUCUGGACCUACUUGGAUCCAAUUUUGGCAAGGGUGAUUGUAUGCCACUCUCUUAUUUUUUCGAAAAAUUCUCAUGGAAUAAAGCCCAAAUAUGGUUGCAUCAUCUUUGUCUAGGGCAUCUAUUUUUUUUCUUUGUUCAAAAAAAUGCUUUUAAUAGUUUUCAUUGUGAGGUUUGUCAAUUUGCUAAACAUCAUCGUGUUCGGUUUCCUUUAAGUAAUACAAAAUCAACAUUGCCUUUUUUGUUAAUUCAUACUAAUGUUUGGUGUCCUUUUGGAAUCCCAAGUCUUUUUGGAACAACGUGGUUUGUGUUUUGUAUCGAUGAUUGUACUGUGGUGAAUUAGUUAUAUCUCAUAAAAAACAAAUCAAAUGUUAAUUUUAUGUUUCCUAUCUUUCAGCAAAUGGUUAGGACAUAGUUUGGAGUUAAAAUAAAACCAAUUAAAUCUGAUGAUGGGAAAGAUGAAAAAGGAGGAUUAUACACCAAUCUUCUUGUAUUAAUUCCCCAAAACAAAAUGAUGUGGGUGAAUGGAAAAAUAUACAUCCAUUAGAAAUCUCUCAAGCUAUUUUUUUAGAAAAAUAUGCCUAAAUCAUAUCGAAGAAAAGUUAUCUUAAUUGCAACUCAUUUGAUUAACCAACUACCCUCAAAAGUUCUUGAAAAUAUAACUCCAUUGGAUACACUUCCAAAAUUUUUCCCGCAUUUCAAUAGCUUUAGUAAACUUCCUCCCAAAGUUUUUGGUUGCAUGUCGUUGUCUAUAGCUAUCCUCCAAAUUGCAACAAACUUGAUCCUCGAGCUUUAAAAUGUAUGCUUAUGGGAUACUCUCCAACCAAAAAGGGUUAUAGAUGUUAUCAUCUUGCUUCUUGAAAUUUUUUUACAACCAUGGAUGUUACUUUUACUAAAAAUCAAUAAUUUUUUUCCUAAUACUUACCUUCAAGGGGAGAGCUUAGAUGAAGAUAAGUUUCUCUCUUAUGGUUUGCCUAAUUUGACUGUACUUUUUGAAUUCAUGCUUCUUUCACCUAAGGUCUCACCUAUAGGUUCUACCUCCUUGUCAUUUGGUUAAGAACCUUCAUAAGAAAUGGAGCAAGGGGGAUUUACUGUGAUUGACAUACCACUACAGGUUUACUUUAGAUAGAAACAAUCUUAACUGGAUCGAAUGUAAGCUUAAGAGUCUGAACCUGAGCCCGGUAAUGAACACACAAACUCCACUAAUUUUGUUUGUAGUGUCAUUUCUCCUACUUCAAAUUUGUUGCUCUCACCAAAAACUCAUGAUCAAUUUGUUCAGAAUGAAGAUUCAAAAGUGUUUUAUGAUCUGCAUUUAUCAAUUGCCCUUAGGAAAGCUACCAGAAAAUGCACUCUAACACCCGGUCUCUAUAAUAUUAUUUCAUUUGAAAACCUAUCCCCAUCACAUAGAGCCUUCCUUACCAAUUAAAUCAUAUCGAUAUCCCUCAAACAGGCCAAGAAGCACUUAGAAGUAAGAAUUGGAGGAAAGCCAUGGACAAGGAGAUGUCAGCUGUUGAGAAAAACCAAACUUAGGAAAUAGUUGAAUUACCAUAGAGAGAAAACUGGUUGGAUGUAAAUGGGUGUUCAUUGUUAAAUAUAGAGUUGAUGGGGCGUCGGAGAGAUACAAGGCUAGGUUGGUGGCUAAGGGGUGUAUGCAAACUUAUGGGAUGGACUACCAAGAAACAUUUGCUGCAAUAGCAAAGAUGAAUACCAUUCUAUAUUACUAUCCUUGGUAGCUAACUUUGGUUGGUCUUUGUAGCAACUUGAUGUUAAGAAUGCAUUUUUGCAUGGUGAUUAAGAAGAAGAUGUGUAUAUGGAAACACCACCAGGUUUCAAUGGAGACUUCAGAAGCAAAAUGAUGUGUGCAGACUAAGAAAGGUGCUUUAUGGCCUUAAACAAUCUUCCCAAGCAUGAUUUGAAAGAUUUGCAAAAGCUAUGAAUGGUAUAGAGUUUUGACAAAGCCAAGGGGAUUAUACACUCUUCAUUAAACGCUCACAUAUGGGUAAACUUACCGUCGUCAUAAUUUAUGUUCAUAACAUAAUUGUUUUUUUUUUUUUUAUAGACUGUUCAUAACAUAAUUGUGAUAGGAGAUGACUAUGCGGAAAUAGAAAAGACUUAAGAAGAAACUAACUAAAAAAUUCAAGAUAAAAGACUUGAGAAGACUAAGUAUUUUUUGGGGAUUGAAGUGGCUCAUUCAAGGAAGGCUAUUUUUGUCUCUUAACAGAAGUGCAUUUUGGAUCUUCUUAAGGAGACCGACAUGCUUGGUUGUAAGCCUAUUGACACCUCCAUUGAACAAAAUCAUAAGCUAGGGGAAGCUUAAGAAGAUGCAGUAAUAGAACGUGGAAUGUAUCAACAUCUAAUUGGAAAGUUAAUCUAUUUAUCACACACAAGGUCGGAUAUAACCUAUGCUAUUAGUGUCAUAAGCCACUUCAUGCAUUCUUCUAGGAAGUCCAUUUAGAGGCGAUUUAUAGGAUUCUACGUUACUUAAAGUCUACUGCAAGAAAAGGAAUUUUCUUUAAAAAAAAUGAAGAGCUAAGCCUAGGGGUGUACACCGAUGCAAAUUAGGUAGGAGUAGUGGCAAAUCAACAUUUGACCUCUGGUUACCAUACAUUCUUAGGUGGCGACUUAGUGACAUGAAGAAGUAAGAAAUAAUUCAUAGUAGCUCAAUCAAUUGUAGAAGUAGAGUUCAAAGCUAUGACACAUGGGGUUUGUGAACUAUUAUGGAUAAAGAAUGUCUUUGAUGAUCUAGGAAUCAAGUGGGGUUUGUGAACUAUUAUGGAUAAAGAAUGUCUUUGAUGAUCUAGGAAUCAAGUGGGAAACAAUCAAUAUUGCUCACAAUCUAGUACAAUAUGAUCGAACAAAGCAUGUAAAAGUAGAUCGACACUUCAUUGAGAAAAACUUGAUAGUGGUUUGAUCUACACACCCUAUGUUUAAACAAAAAGGCAACUUGCAGAUGUGUUGACCAAAUGAUUGAUUAGUCACUAGUUUCAAAUAAUUACAUGCAACCGGGGAAGGGACAACAUCUAUCCUCUAACUUGAAGGGGAGUGCUGUCAAAUUCUAAAUAAUUUUGUAUUUAUUUUUUUCCUUUUCUUUUUUUGGUAAAAUAUGAUUUAUAGGAGAUAUCAUAGGAUAAAGGUGGUAGGUGAAUAAGAUCCCUUGUUUUUUUGCUUUUCUUUUUUUGUAUUUAUUUCUUUGUUCCGAUUGUGUAUAAAUAGGGUUUAUGUAUUGUAUUCUAAAAGAAUUCAAGGAGAGCAUAAUUUAUUUCAAAUCCCAUGGAUUUUAAUGGGUUUAUACAGAUUUUGGAACAAAGAAAACCUAGGGGAUGUGGACUAAAAAAUUUACGAAGGUUUCAUAAGUUGGAAACCACUUAUUUUCUUUGAAAAUCAAAUUAAAACUAUUUUCAAAACCUGCCAGAAACAAGUGUUUGAUUACUUGGUUGGUCAAGGAGGCCUAUUCAUAUGGACAUCAGGUUCUUGAUAACAUAACCAUUUGAUCUGCUUAUUAAGGGAUUAGCCACCAUAAAUUUGGGAAUAUGAUUUUAAUUGCCUUAGCUUAUAAUAUGUGCAUCUUUAAGAACAUCUUUCUAAAAAUUUUUUUAUGCACAAAAAUCCCAACUUUACCCUCGCACCUUAUAUUUACAUUUGAGGACAAAAUAACCAACUUUAAUUUUGAUGUGGCUUUACACUCCAUGGCUUGAAGGCUGGAUUGAAUGUGAGCUAGCUAGGUUAACAUUACAGCUUUUGAAGUGGAACUUCCAGCCACAUUCCACUAGGGCAUAAUCCCUAAUGAUAAAAGAUUUGUUGCCAAGGAGGAUUCUUUUGCAGUGGAAGCAUGAUAAGAGUUAAUAUAGCUUGUACCUAAGAGGAGACAAAGGGGUCAAUAUGGAGUAAGUUUGUGAAGAAGGUAUUUUGAAAGGAUUUGUGUUUCCUAAAGGAGGGGCUCAUGCUGUUGUAAUUGUGGGUAAUGGCAUGACCUUUUUGCAUGAUACUUACUUCUUGUAGAGAUUCCAUUUGAGGACAUUUCAUAAUUUCAUCAUUGGAAUGGACAAGGAAGCAAUCUUUGUUUUUGGGUUGAGGGGUGGGAAAUGCCAGGAGGUUAUUUGAGUUGUUGGGAGGAAAGAGCAUUGGAUCAAAGGUUCUUUAGGGCAAUGGAAGGCUGGGAGAGGGAGUUAAUAGUGGUGCUUGAGUGUUUGUAUGAGUGAAGGAUGAUGUGAGAAGGCCAUAAGACCAUAACCAGUCAGGUGUUCAUUUGCUACUACAUUAUAAAGGAAGAAAGGCUAUGUGGAUUACUUGGUCUAUUCUAGGAGUGAUACAUAUAGGCUGUUCUCAUUUGCAAAUCUUGGUGCAUUAUCAAGUAUAGGAACAUGUGAAUAUUUGAAUAUUACAAAAGUAGGCUGCCAUAAUCUAAGAAUAGCUCUCUAGGUUUACUUUUCUCAUGGUUCAUUCAAUUGUUAUUUCCCCAUUAUAUGCCUUUCUUUGACUUUCUGGAGAUUUAUUUAUGGAGAUUGGAUUGGUUUUUCCUUGUCUUUUUCUUUGUUCCUCCAUUCUUUUUAUUUUGAUUUAGUUUAUUUUAUUUUUUAAUUUCUAAUUAUAAUUUUUAUUUUUUAUUGUCUUUAUUUUUUUAUUUUAUAUUUAUUAAUUUUGAAAAUUUUAAGUUGAUACUUCUCUGGUUCCUCUUAUGUGCCUUAUACACAUGAGUUAAGCCCCUCUUUGGGGCCUUUCUGUUUUAACUAUAUUUUGUAGAAGAGUCAUUUUUGUUCCAACUUGAGAGUGGGUUCUUGGACAGGAAAGUGUUCUUUGUUAUUUUCUAUUGGCAUAAGAAUCUAUUUUUUGUUGUUAAAAACUUAAAAACCAUUACCUGUAAAUUUUGAUUUUGAAAGUGGAAAGGAAAGAUAUUGUAGGAAAAUAACUCACUCUAGAUGAUAGGCUUAGUCACUAUAUUGGGUGAAUUCUUCUUUUUAGUAAUCUUCACUAAAAUAGCACUUUCUGAAUCACGUCUUUGAUGAAAUGCGUCCUAAAAUCAAUAUGUUUGGUCCUUUAACUGGUUUUUGGUCAAAUAUGUGGCAAUCUAGUUAUUUCAAUACCCAAUAUUCAACUUCUUCAGUAAUAGUGAGUGAAGUCUUGCUGGAGAAAUACAAAUAGCUGAAACAAGGUUAAUAAUCUAAUUUUACUUGAUUCUCAAUGGAGUUAAGAGGUUAAUCUCCAUUUGAAAAUUGGAGGAGGUCCAUGUAAUUAAGCUACAUCUUGUAUUUGUGCGGUCCAUAUAUUUUAAGCUAAAUCGUGUGUGUAACAUGACAAUAUGUGGUAAUGGUUUUGAAGAAUGUCCAAUAAAUUAAAGCAGUGGUGCUAAGUUGCGUGUUACCAUGCAAAUGGAGAAUACAAUAAAAUCAUAUUUUGUGAACUGUGUAAUAUUGUAGAGUUACUUGUAUUCUCAAGGUGAUUUAUCAUGGAGAUUGGUCCAUACCUGAAUAAAGCAAAUUAUUCUCUCUCCCUCCCUCUCUCUCUCUCUCUCUCUCUCUCUUCCUUUACCUGCAAAAGGAAAAAAAUGAACCAUGAUUACAAUUAGAGAUGACCAACUAGUCAUCUUGAAGGCCCCGGGGCUGCUUCUUAGUCAUGGUUGCUAUCUUGUUGUUUUGAGAAUAUUGUUAGCUGCCGAGCAGCACCCGUAUGAUGCACUUAAUAAAUUUCUUGUUGGAAAACUCAUCAACAAACUUCCAAUUUGUGAGAAAAAAGAGCUUUUAUUGGAUAGGCUUGAUUGGAGAUAUCAAUCAAGAAUAAAGUCGUCUUCUUAGGUCUCUAUAUAUUAGCAUGCAUCUUAAAACCCAUCUCCUUAAAAUACAAAUGUCUCCAUGGACCAUCAGAAGCAUUAUUACCCCAUGAUGAGUCUCCCUCCAUGAUUAUCCUGGAGAGUCCUGUAGCUUUGGCUCCCCUAGGACCUAUUGGAAUGCUUCAAGCUGAGUCUUGUUUGAACCAUGUACAAUUGUCUUAGUGGUUGUUUGGUAAAAUUUAAUAUUUAUUACAUAAUGAUUCAAGUUGACUUUAAGUUAAAUUAUUUUUAAAUUGUUAACUUUUACUUUAAGUACUAAGGUUGUUGGGUGAAACUAAUUUAAAGUUUAUUUUAAGUUAUUAAAUUGACAUAUUUACCCCAUUAGCUGUAAUUAAUAGGUGUUUUUAAAAAUUUUAAUUAAUAUUUAUUGUAUUGUUUAUUAAACAUCUAUACUUAAAAGUAUCUUAAAUUUAUAAGAUAACCUUAAAAUAUUUACUAUGAAAAAUAAGUCAUAGAUUUGGAGUCAUGAUUGUGAAAUAUGUUUUCAUUAGAUAUGGGCAAAUAAGACAAAAAAAAUUGGGAUUAAGAAUAAAUAAACAUUUUGACUCAAAUAUUUAAAAAAAAGUCAUUUUUAACUUUAAAUUGUCAUAUUAAGUUAUUUUACAAAUUAUGCUUAAUCUACUUACCAACUUAGGAACUUUAGUUAUUAAGUCACUUUAAGUCAUUAAGUUGAUUUACCAAACGCCCUCUUAGAGAAGAUAAAAUGAUAGGCCAUGAUGGCCUUAUACAAAUACAUUGAUGCUUAGCUAGUUAAUGGGCUUCUAGAAAAUUCAUGAAUUUUGUAAGUUUCAGAAUAUAUUACUGUUGUUUAUUAUUUAUUUGUUUAUUUUGUUUUAAAUUUCAGGUUACAUCAAAAGCAUAAGCACAGACAUUUCGACAAGGAAAAUAACUAAGAAAAGCAGCCAACCAACCGAGCAGCAAGCUAGGCAACAAACUCGUAGGCACCGGGUAAUGGUGAAGCAUGUGGUUCACCAAAACUGUCGAUCUUCAGUCUUGUCAGGUCACAUUCUUUACCACAUGAAUUGACCAUGUCCAAUUAAUUCAUUAUUAAUCUUCAGAGGCAUUCAUAUAUAGCUAGUGAAUUGGGGAAUUUGGAAUUAUAAUAUUUUAUUAUAAAUAAAGUAUAGAGGAAAACAAGAAGGACAAGAGAAAAAAAAUGGAAAACCACCACUACCAACAACAAAACAAACUUGUUCUAUUAUGCAUAAGGUUGUUGAUUUAAGAGUCUUUGAUUGCAUCAAAGGAUGAAAAUAUCGAAAUCAAUGAAAAUAUCAGUGGUUCAAUUUUAUAGUGUUAGCUGUAUAUAUCUGUACAUACCAUAACCAUAAUUUGGUUGUUUCCUUAGGGAUAAUACCUUCCUAAUUUAGGACUCCCAAUUGUAUAUAUAUAUAAGUAUUAUUUCUCUAAUAAAGCAUUAGGGGAAUUGAGAAAUACCUUGGUUGAUUUACAUGGUAUCAGAGCCAUUGGCUCAAAUUCUGGGUUUGUUCUUGGGUCACAGAAUAAAAGUGACCUGGUAGUGUCACUGCCUUCAAAGGGGGAAGCGAGGUGUCAAGAUCGGUCGGUACCCGAAGUCCGGCGACCUGAAGCUGAACACGUGAAGCUCACGCGCCGGCGCGUGGAGGAGUGUAGCAGCUUCUUUUGACCUCCGACUCCAGCCAGGGUGAUCUCAUUCUUGGACUGUCAGAUUCUGCCCUUGGGACGACUCUCCCUUCGUCGAACAAAUCUAGACGUCGAUCGAGGGAUCGCAAAGAUUCAUCGAUGACUGCGGAAUCGCUGUCGCUAGUCCGGCGAACCCUACCCUUCGAUUCACCUUCCUGAGACGCCUUCUUCUCAGAUCCCACCACCCUCUCACGCCUUCUCUCCGCCGCCGAAGCGACGCUGUCAUCCGAGAUCAUUGAAAGCCCCGACCUCCACUGCCCAGAGGAGCGCCUUUUUAUUGCUGCUUCUCGGGCCUGACACACGACCCACGUUUGUCAGCAGCCCUGACGAGACCUCUGUCUCCGGCUCGUGCUGCCGAGCUCCAGCGACGGAGCCGAUCCAGUUGAACUGCUCCUCUUAGAAACCGGACCGAUUUGAGUUUCUUCGCCCACCUUGGUCGCCACGACAACAAUCCAUUUUCCCUCACAACUUUCAGGGUGAGAAAGAGAGGGAGUCAAGGGUUUGACGCACGCUUUUGACCCUUUCACGCUUUUGACACCUUCUUGUAAGAGAGGUACUUGUCUCUUCCUUCUUGCUGUGGUAAAUUGUAAUUUCUGGUCUGACUGAUUACUUUGGAGAUCGAAUUUUAUUGUCAUGGAAGAGAAUAAGAAUUUUGUUGCUGAUAUAGUGCCUAUUGUGUCAAAAAUAACUGAACACAAAUUAAAUGGGUCUAAUUAUAUUGAAUGGAGCAAGACUAUCAAAAUUUAUUUGAGAAGUGUUGCUAAAGAUGACCACUUGACUGAGGAACCUCCUAAUGAUCACACUAGAAAACUUUGGAUGCAAGAUGAUGCACGGUUAUUUCUGCAGAUGAAAAACUCUAUUAAUAGUGAUAUCGUUGGUCUGCUGAGUCAUUGUGAAUUUGUUAAAGAGCUAAUGGAUUAUCUUGAUUUUCUGUACUCUGGAAAAGGAAAUGUAUCUCGGAUGUAUGAUGUAUGGAAUGCCUUUCAUUGUCCUGAGAAGAGAGCUAAAUCCCUCACUGCAUAUUUUAUGGACUUCAAGAAGGUAUAUGAGGAAUUGAAUGCACUUAUGCCUUUCAGUCCAGAUGAUAGAGUACAACAGGCUCAACGGGAACAGAUGGCUGUUAUGAGUUUCUUAUCCGGUCUCCCAUCUGAGUUUGAGACUGCAAAAUCUCAGAUUCUUUCUGGUUCUGACAUUGGUUCUCUUCAAGAAGUUUUCAGUAGAGUUCUACGAACUAAGAAUGUCCCGUCUUCUCAGCACACUAAUGUUCUUGCUGCCAAAGGAGGAAAUGCAGAAAAUGCAAGAAUGGUGAAUAACAGGGGUGGAAACAGGGCAUUUGAAAAUCGUGGCAAUGAUUCCAAUACUAUUGUGUGUUUUUACUGUCAUAAGGCUGGCCAUACCAAGAAGAACUACAGGAAAUUACAGAAUCGAAAUCGGAGAAUUCAAACUGCCAAUGUUGCUACAUCUGAUACUACGACAUUUUCAGACUCCUCAGACAAGAUCGUCACAAUGACAGCAGAAGAGUUUGCUAAAUAUUCACAGUAUCAAGACGCACUAAAAGCAUCUACUCCUGUUAGUGCUCUGGCAGAGUUAGGUAAAACAUGUCUUGUCUCCUCCUCAAACAAAUGGAUAAUUGAUUCAGGUGCCACAGAUCAUAUGACAGGUAAUCAUAAAACUUUCUCUACCUUCAGAACACAUUCUGCUCCUCCUGUUACUGUUGCUGAUGAUUCUACCUAUGAGAUUAAAGGGUCUGGGAUUGUGAAACCAACAUCUUCUAUUACGUUAUCUUCUGUGUUAAACUUACCAAAUUUGGCCUUUAACCUAAUCUCUGUCAGUAAACUUACCAAAAAUCUGAAUUGUAGUGUCUCAUUUUUCCCUGAUCAUUGUGUGUUUCAGGAUCUUAUGACGAAACGGACAUUUGGUAAAGGACAUGUAUCUGAUGGGCUCUAUAUUCUUGACGAGUGGGUACCUCGACCAGUUGCGUGUGUCAGUACUGCCUCUCCUGUUGAAGCUCAUUGUCGGUUAGGACAUCCUUCUCUACCGGUGUUGAAGAAAUUAUGUCCUCAGUUUGAUAAUUUACCUUCAUUAGAUUGUGAGUCGUGUCAUUUUGCGAAGCAUCAUCGUAGUUCUUUAGGCCCAAGGAUUAAUAAACGGGCUGAGUCUUUGUUUGAGUUAGUACAUUCUGAUGUUUGGGGUUCGUGUCCUGUUGCUUCUAAAACUGGGUUUCGAUAUUUUGUUACCUUUGUGGAUGAUUUUUCUCGAAUGACUUGGAUUUAUUUUAUGAAGAAUCGUUCGGAAGUAUUUUCCCAUUUUUGUGCCUUAUCUGCUGAGAUUAAAACCCAAUAUGAUGUGUUUGUGAAAAUAUUAAGAAGCAAUAAUGGAAAAGAAUAUGUGUCGAACUCAUUUCAGAACUACAUGAGUCACAAUGGGAUUCUUCAUCAAACAUCUUGUGUUGAUACUCCUUCUCAAAAUGGGGUUGCUGAAAGAAAAAACAAGCAUUUACUUGAGAUGGCUCGUGCACUCAUGUUCCAGAUGAAGGUUCCGAAACAAUUUUGGGCUGAUGCAGUUUCCACAACUUGCUUUCUGAUCAACCGUAUGCCCACUAUAGUGCUUAAAGGUGAUAUUCCGUACAAAGUACUACAUCCACAGAAAUCACUUUUUUCACUGGAACCAAGAAUUUUUGGAUGUACAUGCUAUGUUAGAGAUACAAGGCCUUUUGUUACUAAACUUGAUCCUAAGGCGUUAAAGUGUGUUUUCUUGGGGUACUCAAGACUGCAAAAGGGCUAUAGAUGUUUCUCGCCUGAUCUAAAUAAGUAUCUAGUAUCAACGGAUGUUGUGUUUUUAGAAGACACAUCCUUUUUCUCUUCACCCACAAGUUCUACAAGUGAGGAGGAGGAUGAAGAAUGGCUUGUGUAUCGAGUGGUUAAUUCAAGACCAACUGUUGGGCAUUCAAGUGUGGUUGAUUCUGAUGCGUCUCUAGCUCAUUUGGGUCCUGUUGUUAAUAUUCCUCCUGCUCCAGUCAAACCACCAAUUGUACAGGUGUACUCUCGGCGCCCAGUGACCCCAGAUACAUGUCCUGCACCAGCUCCUUCGUCAUCUGAUCCUUCCAGUGAUCUCGACCUUCCUAUUAGCCUUCGGAAAGGUAAACGCCACUGCAAAUCUAUCUAUUCCAUUGCUAACUUUGUGUCUUAUGAUCACCUGUCAUCUUCCUCAAGUGUUCUUGUAGCCUCUAUAGAUUCAAUUUCAGUACCUAAAACUGUUACAGAGGCCCUGAAUCAUCCUGGUUGGAAGAAUGCAAUGCUUGAAGAAAUCUGUGCAUUGGAGGAUAAUCAUACAUGGAAACUUGUUGAUUUGCCUCAAGGAAAGAAAGUUGUUGGCUGCAAGUGGGUCUUUGCGGUAAAAGUUAAUCCUGAUGGCUCUGUGGCACGACUGAAAGCCAGGCUUGUAGCUAGAGGAUAUGCUCAGACAUAUGAAGUAGACUAUUCUGAUACUUUCUCUCCAGUUGCCAAACUAAAUUCCGUUCGACUAUUUAUUUCUAUUGCUGCUUCCCAACAGUGGAUGAUACAUCAGUUAGACAUCAAGAAUGCUUUUCUUCAUGGUGAUCUAGAAGAAGAAGUCUAUCUGGAGCAACCUCCUGGGUUUGUUGCUCAGGGGGAGUAUGGGAAGGUUUGUUGUCUGAAAAAAGCUCUCUAUGGAUUGAAGCAGAGUCCCCGUGCUUGGUUUGGAAAAUUCAGUAAGGAGAUUCAAGCGUUUGGCAUGAACAAGAGCGAGAAAGAUCACUCCGUUUUCUACAAGAAAUCAGCUGUUGGUAUCAUACUUCUUGUGGUCUAUGUCGAUGAUAUAGUUAUUACAGGAAAUGAUCAUGCAGGAAUCUUUGAUCUUAAGGCAUUCAUGCAUUCCAAGUUCCAUACAAAGGACUUGGGUGAACUGAAGUAUUUCCUGGGAAUAGAAGUAUCAAGGAGCAAGAAAGGGAUGUUCUUAUCACAAAGGAAGUAUGUGCUUGAUCUGCUUAAAGAGACCGGUAAGAUAGAAGCAAAACCAUGUACUACCCCGAUGGUUCCUAAUGUACAACUUAUGCCAGAUGAUGGAGAUCCCUUCUACAACCCUGAGAGGUAUCGGAGAGUGGUUGGGAAACUGAAUUAUCUCACCGUGAUGCAACCAGAUAUUGCAUAUGCAGUAAGUGUUGUUAGUCAGUUCACAUCUGCGCCUACAAUAAAGCAUUGGGCGGCUUUAGAGUAGAUUUUGUGCUAUCUAAAGAAGGCUCCUGGUCUAGGCAUACUAUAUAGUAGUCAGGGACACACUCGCAUUGAGUGUUUUUCUGAUGUGGAUUGGGCAGGUUCUAAGUUUGAUAGAAGAUCCACUACAGGUUAUUGUAUGUUCUUUGGUGGGAAUUUAGUGGCUUGGAGAAGUAAGAAGCAGAGUGUUGUAUCCCGUUCGAGUGCAGAAUCUGAGUAUAGGGCCAUGGCACAGGCUACUUGUGAAAUCAUAUGGAUACAUCAACUCUUAUGUGAAGUGGGAAUGAAGUGCGCAAUGCCAGCAAAGCUUUGGUGUGAUAAUCAAGUUGCCCUUCAUAUUGCUGCGAACCUAGUCUAUCAUGAAAGAACCAAACACAUUGAGGUCGAUUAUCACUUCAUUCGUGAAAAGAUUGAGGAAAAUCUAGUCUCUACUGGCUAUGUGAAGACUGGAGAGCAACUUGGGGACAUUUUUACAAAAGCUCUAAAUGGAACUCGAGUUGAGUACUUUUGUAACAAGCUGGGCAUGAUCAACAUCUAUGCUCCAGCUUGAGGGGGAGUGUUAGUUGUAUAUAUCUGUACAUACCAUAACCAUAAUUUGGUUGUUUCCUUAGGGAUAAUACCUUCCUAAUUUAGGACUCCCAAUUGUAUAUAUAUAUAAGUAUUAUUUCUCUAAUAAAGCAUUAGGGGAAUUGAGAAAUACCUUGGUUGAUUUACAUAUAGAAAUUUUGAUUAGUGAAAAUUAAAGAAAUCACGAAAAUUUACCUCAAAAUAUGGAAAAUUUGAAAAAUAAAACAAUUAAUAAUGCAUAUAUUGAAUUUGUUUUUUUUUUUUAAUCAUAAAAUACAAUAUGUAUGAUAAAAUUGGUGUCAUUAAUCAAUAUUACAAUAUGCGCUGAUAACAAAUAUGACCUUUGAAAGUCAACACUGAAUAUUAACGUGGAGAUAAAAUUUUAUUUUAUUUACUUCUAGUAUUUAAAAACAUUUUAUAUUUAAUGCCAAAUUAUGACCUCCAGAGUUUGAAGAUGAUGAUGGAAUACAUAAGGGAUGGAAGCCAAAUGAGAGGAAAAUGAGGGGGGAACUUAUUUAUAAAAAUUUGGGGUCUAACUGGCUGUUAGAGCUCAAAAGUUAUCAUCAGAAACAGUAAAGAUAGGCCACAACUGGUCAUGAGGGAAAUGUUAAUAUUUUCCCAAGAUAUUACCUAAGUAUCUGGAAAUUCUGAAGAAAUCUUGUAAAUUUUUUUUAACCUCUCUAUAUACUCCCAAAUUAUCAAUAUUUCAAUGGAAAUAUCGGCAAAAAUAUCAGUUUUUUUUUUGUGUUUGAUUGCAUCCCUUGCAAUACUUGUUUGAUUUGUUAGUUUUGGGUUACUGAUAUUUGUGGUUUGAUUUGCCACCAGGAAAAUCCCCAAUUAGUUUAAAACCAUGAUAAUUGCAUCCAUCUAUUGUUGUCGUGGAAGGCUGCAAAGAGCACACUGGUUUUGUUCCUUGACACGGGAAAGGGAUGCUCAAGUCACUGCUACAGAUGCUGAUUGUGAAGUUGACCACUAUUGCACUUUUAAGGUACAUUAUUAGAGCCACAACGUCGGAAUCUCAUUGUGGAGAAAGACCACUGUUGCGUCUUUAAUGUACAUUGCUUGGAUGACUAAAAUUCCAUGGGCAAGGGGUACUGAUGUAUGUAUGGUCUUUGGUCAGAGUUCCUACUGUUUUGUGCUCACAUGUCUACUCUCUUUUAUCUAAUGUAAAUGGGAUCUGACACCAUUGUUUUGAACUUUUGCUGCUGUUUGUUGUCCUGAGCAUGAAGGAAAAUAUAUGAAGUGUUACUGUCCCAAUGGUUUUGAUAUUUUUCGCAGGAGUCAGUUUUCUUGUAGUCGGGCUUAGAUUUGGUCCAGCCCAACAUGAGCCCAUUGUCAAGUUUUGCGGCUUUUCGGUUGGAAGAUAUUAGAAAUGGGCCCCUAGAAAACUUUCUUCUGACAUUUGCAUUAAUUCCCAUUUUUUUCAAAACUCAAAGCUUAUUAACUAGUAGCAGAAAUCUUCCGUGCAUUGACAAAAAGUUGAAUUGAGUAGAGCUUCAGUAUAGUGGAAGCAAAAGCUGGCAUGCACUGGAAACUAACCAGAAUCCUUGUGAUAAGUUGACAUGCACUGCGAACUAACUAUACUUUUGUUUAGAUAGCUGACAUUCACAGGGAACUAUGCCCUUGUUUAGAUUCAUGGGAUCUAAUCAUUGUGCUCAUAGCAUGUGUGUUUGACACAAUUAUGGCAUCUUCUCAUGUACUAGUUUGUUUGGUGCUUUGACGGUAGGAUUUGGAGGAAAAAAAAAACAGGGGACUCAGUUUUGCCACCAUGUGCUGGCUUAAUCAAACUUGAUUCAGGCGAUCUGAUCAGUGAGUGUAGUACGAGCUUUUUUGUGACACAAUAAUGUUAUCAUUUUAGUUGUGCUGGUAGUUUGGUCAAGUCAUUGUUUUCAUUAUUAUGAUUGUGUUAUUAGUUAGUUUGAUGCUUUGACACGGAACUGAAAUCAGGAUACUUAAGUAGUGUGGGACUCACAGCUAUCCUAAGUUUUGUUGUAUUGGCUUGUAUUGUCUGAAUCAAAGUUAUAUUUGAUUUAAAAGGUGGGCCUUGAAUGUUGUUUAUAAUGUUAUAGCCUAGUUUUGUCUGAACUAAUGCAUUUGCCCUUGAUUGAGCUCAAUUUUGACCCUGUUUAACCUCAAAACUGCAGAACCUUUGUAUGCAAACAACGCUUAAACUUUAGAUUUCAGGUUUUGCUCCCUCUAAUGAAGUUCUGAGGGGAGGGAUUGGGUAGUCAAGUAACCAACAUUCAGCCUUUCUCUACCUUGAGACUGCAUUCAGGCUUGAACUUUAGCCCAUAGAACUCAGUGUGGCUGAUUUAUCAAGAAAGGUGAUUCGACUCUGAAUGGUUUUCUCCCUUUUGUGUUAUACUUGACUUUGGUGCAAGAUUCGAACAGAACCAUGCCAAAUGAAGACCACGUUUGGAACAUUCAAAUAGUAGAUGGAAAUAGAUUUCUCAUCCAUCAGUAUGAAUGUAAUUUUGGUUGUUUUAUUAGAGUUGAGAAUAAAAAUAAAAAAUAAUUCCCAUUCUUAUUCCCGAUUAAAAGGGUGUGAAUCUCAUAAUUCAAGGAACUUAAGCUGAUAAGCAUUCAGUUUGUUUUAAGCGUAUUUUCAAUUUCAGAGUCAGGGCGGAAACGAACCCAAAAAACAAGAGUGAGGGUAUUUUAUGAAUAUAAUAUAUGGUUGAUAUUUGCUUACAAUGUUUCAUUUUGUCACGGUAAAUUUUGCUGGAUCCCAUAUUGGACGUCUUUUUCUUUUUUCUUUAUUUUUUUUCCUCCUCCUCUUGCUCUCUCUCUCUCUCUCAUUAAAACUAGUGGCAUACCAAAAGAUGAGAGCUGAGGAAGAAAUGAAUUUGAGAAGAGUCGGACAAAAUGGUGAAAAAUUCAUAAACAAAAGACAUCCAAGGGGGAUUUGGUGAAGAUUAGGAGAGACAUGGCGUGACUUAAUCGCUUUCAACAUCAAUUGAUGCCAUUAGACUUCAAUAAUGACGGUGGUUAUGUCUUCCAACGGCUAUAUCCUUCAAUUAUGUAACCAUGCUUCUCAAUAAUGUACCAUGUAUUAAUAGAGGCCCAUAUUUCUUCCACUCUUACAGCUAAAACACUAAUGCAUGAAGAGCUACAUGUAGAAUGAAUGAGAUCCAACAUUGUAUACUAGCAGUAGUACCAGGCCACUUCAACCAUUAACUACGGCGGUCCCACUUUACAAGACCCAUGAUCUAUUCCCACAUUGCACAAUCUUUCAGUUGCAUGAUUGGAUAAGGCAGUCUCCUCAGUCCUUACACGCUACUGUUUGACUUGGAAAGCCAAAUCAGAAGAGAAAGAUAGCGUCUAAAAGACCUGUUUUCUUUUUCUUGUAAGGAUGGUAUACUGUGUAAAUCUAUGGUCCAUAUAUUUCUAUCUAUAUAUGUAUACACACAUAUAUAUGGCAAAGUGGGAGAAGUAAUAGUAGCAGUAGAAGAAGAAGAAGAAGAAGAGGAAGAGCGGAAAGGAAAAGGAUGGCCACAUGUUGGUGGGGAGUGCAAUGAAGUGAAAGGAAGAGCGAAAUGCAUGAAUAUGUGAAGGGCGAGGACCCCAUCUGGGACAGGGGUGUUGCACGUGUGUGACAUUAAAUUGCAAGGGUUGAAGAAAAUGAUAUAUCUUCCCCCCUCCCCCCGUCUCUCUCUCUCUCUCUCUCUCAUGAACAAUAAUGCCAUUUCACUUCAAUCUUAAUCUGGGCUAGGCUGUUGGUUGGCCACUUUCAAACACCUACUCCCCCCUACAAAUUGACCUACACCCUCUACAUGCGUCCAUGCACGCCACUUCUUCCCAUUCACCUCCCUCACUGCUUCUCGCUCCUUUAAUUUCCUCCAUCCCCAUUACCCUCUAACCUUUGGGAAAUUGACUUAUAUACCGAUUUACUAACACAAAAUUAUAAAAAUUGGGGGAAUUAGUAAUACAAAAUUCAGUUGAAGAGAUCUUAGGUUACCACAUGAUAGGCGUUAGUCUUUUCAAAACUACCUUUUCUGAUGGAUCUAUAUAAGUGUUUUUGAUAAAGCUCAUAAUUUCUGAAGUCUUUAAAGAGUUCCAAAUCUUUACUAGUCACUUCCGACUUUUCUUCAUUCUUUAAACAAAUAACAUGCAUCUAAUGUAAAAAAACACAUUGUUGUCGUGUAAUGGUUAUUCCACCUAACCAUGUGAAUUUUGAGCAUUUUUCUCUCCUUCUACAACUACCAGUUUGAUAGAGAUUGAACUUUAAUUUCAGACUUUUAUCAUGAUCUGAAAAUGUAUGAAUCAAAGGUUUACUCUCACAAAUUAUCCAUUCUGGGUUGGUAGAAAAGCGAGAUAUGGUGGGAAAGAGAACUGAGUGGCCUCAUAAGGUUUUGUAGGGAUGAAUAAAGAUAGGAAAGAGACAUGAAAGAUAAGCACAUACGUGUACACUACAUGUCAAAUAGCCUUCAAUAAUAGUGAAUUGUAACGUAGUCUAAUUAAUAUGAUUAGGUAUGGGUUACCUAAUUAAUUAAGAUUCAGAUCAACUUGGAAAAUGACAAUUCACCUGCACUUUAUCUUUUGUUUAGUCCAAAUUUUGCUACCAAAAGUUUUUAGGUUGGACUUUAAUAAAAUUUGCAAGUUUCUUUCUACAAAUUAAUUCACCUUUUUAGCAGAAUUUCUUCCCUUCCUUUUCUUUUUUAAUUUCCUAUCUAUCUUUCUUUCAUCAUUCUAGGAAUUACACCAUGAUGCAAACUUAAAUAAACUGAGGCUUACAUGGUCAGAAGCUCUUGCCUAGAUUCAAUGGUUACUAAAGAGGAGAUUGAGAGAGCCACAUUAUCUUCCUUAAUACAAAGCUGUGAUACUUCAUUAAGAUAUUAAUUAACCUAAAAACGUAAGCCACAUCAGAUAAUGAAAUAAUAAUGUAUAUCAAACUUGCUUGAAUUUUAAGUACUAGAGAAAGCAAUUUGCUAAUAAAAAGAUUAUGAUGAAAGUACUUAUAUUUUAAAUGUAAGUGCUUUGAGUAUUUAUAUCAUGAUCUAGUAGCUUAAAUUUGAUGUGUAAAUUGUUAGCUCUUUUUCUAAUAAUUUAAGUUUUUGCAGUGAUGGUUAAUUAACAUGGUAUCAAUGUUGGAGUUUAGUUUCUUUAUCGAAUUCUUAUGUACUGAAAUUAAUUCUAGAGAAGGGUGUAAACUUUGUAGUUCUAAAGGAGUUAAUAACCUCCUCACUAAUAUUAAAGUCGAUCCAUGGACGUAUUUAUUUAGUGUAGAGAGGAACUGAAAGCACUUAUUGGUAGAUGGUUGGUCUACAUAUAUGAACUAUUGAGUGGAACCACCUUGGCCACUAGCUACUCCAUGCUUCUAUUCCACCCAAAAACAAAACCAACCACCCGAACCUUUUUAAGGAUUAGACAUGAAGAGAGUCUGGUUUUACCCUUUAAGAUUGUGUUCACUUUUUAGCCCUUUCAGCUCUUUCAUUUCAAUUGAAUGAUUGAAUGGGUGAUUGAUUCUUUUUUCUUUUUUCACUUUCUUCACCAAGGGAACUGGUUUUUUACCUCUUCUUUUUAAUGGAAGAGUUCUUAUAAUUGCCUAUAUAUUAUUUCUCCGCUGCAACCCUUUAUCACCCCAUCUCUCUCUCUCUCUCUCUCUCUCUCACUCACUCACUCACAUACACACGCUCUUUCUGAGACGAAGUAUGAGAUCAUCAAGGAGCAGUUCUUCACUCCAUUGGAGAAGAGGAGUGGUGCAUAUGAGAUCAUCAGUAAGGAAAAGGAUGAAGCUUUCUUCCAUUCAGAAAGCAAAGGCUGUUAAAAGUAUUACUCCUCUGCAAAGGAAGCUUAGGCAACUGCAGAAGAUCAUCCCAGGGUCUGAUGAUAUGGAUGUUGACAGCUUGUUUCAAACCACUGCAAGUUACAUAUUUUUACUGGAAUCCCAAGUGAGUUUUCUCAGGAAACUGUCCAGUUUUUAUGGGAUUUAACAAGAAGAAAAAAACCCAAGUCUCCAUGGUCCUUCAGCUUCACAAAUCCAACUGGCUUUCUUACACAAACUUAAUUGAGCUCCUUAUCGGAAAGAGAUCCCAGACUCAAUUGAAUAAUGUAAUAGAUAGCCCUGAUUGAGAGAAUUGAUAAGGGAGCUACUAGUCAGCUAGCCGUACAUCAAGUGAUGAAUUAAUGUUUGGUCUUCUUCUUUAAUAUAAUGUACUGUGGUCAUAUAUAGCAUGUCUCCUUACUGCUUUUGGCUCUGUCCAUUUAUUUGACGCAUUAGGUUUUAGGUUCAUACAAUUAUUUGAAGUAGGAAUGGUAGAAUCUAACAAAAUUUUCCUUCCUUUUCCUUCAUUUUCUCGGCACCCAGAUCUCCGAGCCACGAAAGAACAUGCAUAGCUCAUAAAAGGGUAAAAAACUAACAAACAAACAUGCCGUAUAAGAAUGAGGCUGAUCACCAUUUUAUAUCAAUAAAAUUUUGUAUAUGGAAAUGGAUGGGUUUCUAAUAGGUGUAUUUCCACUAAGAUUUUGUUAUUUUGUUUAAUUUGAAGAAGGGGGCAUGGCCAUAAAAGUUAUUAAUGUCCUAUACGGUUGAAAAAGAGGCAAUGCCACAUUGAUGAAUGUCUUGAAUGCCCCCUUCCUUCUGUACCACGUCCUUUUUUAUUGGACCACCCUUGCAACACCUAAAUUCUCCAAAAGUCUUUGCUAGGUCCCUUGAUUUUACUGCUUGUUUCUUAAUCAUUUGCCAUUUUAAUCAGCAUUUUUCUUUGCAAAAACAUUAUUAAAACCACUAUUAAUUCAAACGAACCCCACACUUGAGUGAGUCUAAAUGAUUAACACAACCCAUUUAAAAUGAUGAGACAUACAAAAGGGCGCAUUCAACUUGGAAAAUUUUCUUUCCCACAAUUAGUUAUGAGCCAAUUUGAUAAUUUAAUAUUCAUUAUUAGUCCAUUCUUGCACACCUAAUAUUUAAAGAGAACUAUUGCCUAGUUUAAUAAGUCAUAAGAGUUAAAUUUUGAUACGCAACGUAAGAGCAUAAGAGCUUGUUUUGGUUGUGUGAUUUAAAAGUAGUUUUCUAUUUUUAAAAAUAGAAAACUGUAUUUAAAAUAAAGUGAAAUAGAGAACGAUUUUUAGAAAACAAAAGAAAAAUAGAAGUCUAUUUGAUUAUGUUUUUUGAAAUUUAAGAAUAAAAAAAUAAUUUUUAAAAACAAGUUUAAAAAGAUGGCCAAACAGACCUUAAGUCUCUCAAGAUUUUUAUAAUUCUUUCAAGAGUCUAUUUUCCUUCAUAUUUUGACAUACAAAAUAUAUUAUUUUUGCCUUUAAUAAGUAAAAUUAGCAUUUGGCCCACAUCUAAUUAAAUGAUAAUGUCUCUCAUGCUAAAAUUUCAAUUGUAUGAUAGAAUAUUUAUGUGACCCAUAACCAUGAUGACACAUUUUUAAAAAGAAAAAUGUAAAUAGCACUAAAAAAAAAAAAAAAAAAAAAAACUCCAGCAAACCAAUGAUAUUGCAUCCCACAUUUGAAAGAGGCCAUUGCUUGAACAAGAAGAAGAAAAAAAGGGCAAAAAAGUUGCUCUAUAAUAAGUGGGAAGGGAGCAAAGCCCUGUUUUAAAGGGAACAUAACACCACUAUUCAAAUGGACACUUAGCCGACCUUUAGCUGUAAAGUAUUUCAAACAAACACAACUCCCUAUUUGACUACGCCACUACUCCUACAUAGAAGCAUGUCUUCUGUUUCUUUUGACUUAUAGACCCACUCACACACUGCAGCUUUUGGGCUUCCCAUGUGUUCAUGUGUUCUUCCCUUCUAUAUAUCAGUCCGCAAUAUUAAAAAGUAGUGAUAAGUUAAAAAAAUAAAUAAAUAAAUAAAUCCAUAUUCCAUGUAUCAUAAUGAAAACUAAAUUCAAAAGCAAAAUAAUUAAAAGAGUAGCAAAACCAUUUCCAGACACUAAUCCAUACAAAUCUUACUGUAACGAUGUAGGAGUAGUACUAAACGUAGCUCCAAACUUGUCAAUCUCAUCUCUAAUCUGACUUUUUGAGGAUACUUUUCAUGGUACCCGAAGACAUUGCUUUGUUUUCAUCUAUCUAAAGACAAUGUCGUUGACAAAAUGGGAUUCAAUAAACUCUUUUUGCUUUUAAGUGCGCUGACAAGUUAAAAACCUCUUGACUUCAGUAAAUUAAAAAAUGAAAAAGAGAGAGACUUAUGAUAUUCAGUACUGAAUUUACUGUGGACUCAACGUACACAACUCAAGAGCAUCACAAAAGGAAACUUUAUGAUAUGAAGGAGGGAUCAAAAUUCCAACUAAAGUGGGUUUUGUAAAUGCAGAAAGAAAGGGGAAUUAUUGACAUUCGAACAUGAAUUAUUAUGGAUUCAACUUACACAACUUAAAAGCAUCACAUCAAGGACAUGGAUAAACCAUAGAGGUUUGAAGUUUCAAAGAAAAAGAUUUCUAACAUACAUCCAAUGCUUACAUGAGAACAGUAAAACAUUCCCUAAGAAUUUAAAAAUAAAAAUAAAUAAAUAAGUUGAAAUUGAAUUGGUAUUAGCUCAUAAAUAUGAUGAAUUUGAUGGAUAGGAUUAGAGCUGGGAAUGGGAAUGAAUGUAGAUUAUAACAUUAUGUAAAAGAGGGGUUAAAAUUUUAAUAAGAAUAUGUUUUAGUUUAUAAAAUAAAAAAAAAAUUAAUUCAUAUUUUUUAAUGAAUAAUUUAAAUUACAUAAUGAACGAGAAACGAGAAACGAGAAACAAAAUAAAUUAUUUCCUCAUUUCAAAUAUGAUGAAAAGAAGAAUGAUAUAAAAUCAGUUAAUAAAAUAGAGGAGAGAACAAAUUUAAUUAUUUUUACUUAUUGUGGUUUAAAAUAUGACUAAAAAAAUAUGAGAUGCUUUUAAGAAGAAAUUUGAAAAAUAAUAUUUUUGAUAUAAUAAAUGUCAAUAUUAAUAAAUAUUUUAUACAAAUUUAUACACAAAAUUCUUGGCUAGCUUGAAAUUGGAAAUGUGGGAGCCACCCAAGCCCCAAUUGUUUUCACUUUAGAGGGCAAGGAGAAAGGCCAUUAAGAUUAUAAUUUGGAAGAACAAAUAAAGAAAUGAAGGAAUGCGAAGAGGGUGAAGGUAGAAAUGAAAAACAAGAGGUGGGAAUUGGAGUGAUGAUUGAAGCAUGUAGGAGUUGUAAAGCUUUGCAAGGACAGACUUGGGGUCCAUCCAUGUGUGCACAUGAGGUCUGCCACCGCCGUCCCCUUGCUCUUCACCUCCCCCUUCCCCUACCCCUUUCCCCAACUUUAAUGCUGCUCUCUACUCUCUCCUCUCUCCUUUGCAACGCCCUGCCUAUUAUUCAUCCACUUCUCCCUCCUUAGUCCUUUCUUCUCAUUUACUUCUGGAAUUUCAUCUUUCUUUUAAACUUGUAAUUUAAUCUCUUUCUUUCAUUACUUCACACUAUUUCAAAUAAAUAAAUAAAUAGUUAUUUUAAUAUUUAUCAUACAAAAUUCUAAUAUUUUCUCUAAGCAUAUAUCUAUCUAAAAGCAUUAUUUUUCAUGAAAUGGAAUUAAAUAAUUUAUUUGUUUCAUGGAGAGUCAAAGAUAAGCAUGAAAGAAAGAAAAUAAGAAAUGAAAGGGAAAUAAAAAAGAAAAUGAAAUAAAAUAAAAAUAAAUAAAUUUAAGUAUGAGCGUAGGGUUAUGCUUAAAUCACGGGGGGUUUUUUGCCUCCCAUCGAUCACUAUCUCUAGUAUUUUCUUUCUUUGGUCUCGUUUUCAACUCCCAUUAAUUGUUCCUGUCCACACCUACACCCUUGCAUUUUGGCUUAGAUGUUUAUAGGUUUUCCAUCAAUUUUUGUGGAAUUGUCUAUCUAAACAAAAUUCAAAGUUGUAAUACACACCCCAUUUGAUUUUUACACAUUCUAUAUAAUAUGUUUUCUGCUACAAUAUAAAUGCCUUGAUAAUUUCAACAUCUAAUAAUUUUUACGUCUUAAUUUUUAAAUAAUUUAUGAUCCAUAAAAUAAAGAUACAAGAGUCUUUUGUUGUUUUUUGUCAAAUGACUCUCAAUUUGUCCAAAACCUAAAUAGAGAUGUACAUAAAAGUAUGAUUUAGACUUUUAAUUAUAGACCAAUAAUGUUAAAAUAUUUGACUUUUUUUAUAAACAAAAUAUUAAAAAGUAAGAUCAAUUUAAAAAAUAAAUGACAACAAACUAAAGUCCAAAAACAAACAAAUGAUCAUAAUAUUUAACCAUGUAAGAAACAGUUGAAUAAAUAAAAAGAUUAAAAAUAUUAGUAUUUUAUAAUAUCCUAAGUUUUAAUUGGUUGAGAAUAGGUUUUUAUUGAAUGGAAGGUAUUGAUUAGCACUCAAAACUAAUAUUUUUCCAUGUAUAAAAAUAGGGUUUUGUAAAGCUUUUGAGUGCAAUCAUUGUUUUUUUUUUUUACUUGAAUGUAUGCUAAGCCUCCAUUAUGGACUAAGAUUUGAAUUUGGUAAAUAAUGCGAUAAAAAGGGAUAAAAUAUGUAUAAAUGCAAGUAUCAAGGCAACUUGAAGAUCCAAGGAUGAUGGAAGCAAGGUGGAUAAACUUGAAAUACAUAUAUAGGUUGGAGAUGCACAAAAUCAUGAAAAGAAAAGGAGGCAUUGUCGAAAUUUCAUAUGUAUUCGCUACAAGAAGAGAAUUUCAACACAACUUGAUACAAGAAGAUACAAUUUCAGUAGAAGGUGUCAAUUUCGAUAAAAAAAAAAAAUACAGUUUUGAUACAACCUCAAAAAUUAGAUAUAAGGUAAAACAUAUUGCACUUUAUUGCAGCAUAAGUUAGAUAUGAGACUUGAAUUUAGAUACAUCAUAUCUUGAUAUGUUGCAAGACAUGGAGAUACCAAAUUUAAAGGAUUAGUAAGAUUUAGAAAGUUGACGUAUUUGCGAUUGCAAAUUUCAACAUUUUGCUUUGAGACUAGGUGGACUUCGACCCAUUUUAACUUGUUUUCUUCCAAAUACAUAUUUUUCAAGGUUUUUUUUCCAUGUGUGAGUGCAUCUCCAUAAUUCCAUAUUUAAUAAAGUUUUGAUUUUUUUCAUUUAUUUUCUCCUCCAUAAUUCCAUGUUUAAUAAAGUUUUUAUUUUUUCAUUUAUUUUCUCUUCCUUUUAUUCAUUCAUGUUUAUAAAGAUACAUCUUUUCUCUAUGUUUGGCUAAGUUCUUUUGAUUUAGAGGAAGGAUUGCUUCAGAAGAUCCUCCUCGUAUGUAUAUAUAUAUAUAUCUAUAUAUUAAAAAUUCUUAUAUUUUUCAUUUAUUUUCUCUUCCUCUCAUUCACUCAUGUUUGUAAAGAUACAUCUUUUCUCUAUAUUUGGCUAAGUUCUUUUGAUUCAAUGGAAGGAUUGCUUCAGAAGGUCCUCAAACAUAAGGUGCAUUUUCAGGUAAGCAAUGUUGUCCCUAUUUUUAGGAUGUUUUUAUUUGUUAUUUAUCAUAAAUCAAUUUAGUUUUUAUUUCAUGUUAGUUUUGUUAGGUUGCAUCAAUAAUUAAAGGAAAAGUGAGUUUUGAUUUACUAAUUUGAAAAAAUAUAGAAAAAGGAAUUCCAACUUUUAUAAAUUAGUUUUAUUUUCAUCAAUGUAAAAAUAUUUUAAAAUAUAUGCACUUUUUCACAAGUCAGAUAAUUAUUUCAUAAAAUAACCUUUUACUUAUUAGGUUAAUAACAUUAAUUGACAUUUUUUUUAUUGUCAAAACUUAUUUGAGAUUAAUAAAAUAAGAAAUUUUAAAAAUUAAAAAUACAAUUAAAACUAAAAAAAAAAAAACUUUAAAGCUAAAAAUAUAAAAAUAAAUAUUAACUUUCACUUCGCUAAAUCAUACUAGUAGAAAAUAUAGAUUCGAGAAAGAGCUGAAAAUACAAUAGGAUUCAAUAUUUUAUUUUUUAAAUUUUUAAGUUUUUUAAUUUUAAUUGUAUUUAAUUUAAUUUUUUUUGUUUUAAUUUAUUUAAUUUUUAAGUAUUUUAGUUUUAACUAUAUUUUUAAUUUUUAAAAUUUCUUAUUUUAUUGUCGAUAUCAACUAACAAAAUUUUUAUUUAAUUUUAUUAAAAAAAAAUAUAUAAGAAGAUGAGUGGAUUUAUAUAACGUAGGAUAUAAAUUCAUUAUUAAUUAGGAAAUUAGAAAUAUUUUAUUUAUCACUUAAGGAUCUUGGAGAAUUUUUCCACAAUGAUUUGUAUCUCAUAUUAUAUAAUAAAAAAUUUAUAAUAUAUUUUUUGUAAGGUACUUUUAUCAAAUUAAAAUGAUAAAUUAAUUUUUUAAUAAUUUUAUUUAAUAUUAUCAAGUAAAAAGGUAUUUCAAGAAACAAUCAUCUGAAUUAUGAAAAAUUUCAUGUAUUAGAUAUUUUUAAAUGAAUGAAGAUAAAUCUAAUUUAUAAAAGUAAAGGUUCCUUAUUCUAAAAUUUUUUCAAAUUAGUGAGUCAAAACUCACUUUUCUCAAUAAUUAAUCAUUUCAACAAAUGCAAUUGGAUUAACAUACCUAGAUUCUUUGUGGGAUAGACCAAAUUAUUAUUACUAUAGUAGCUUGUUUCUUUUUAGAUUUUUUUUUGGUUUGAGAAGAAGCAAAAGAGAGUUCCACCUUGGUUUGGAAAAUUCAAGUUUUCUAUUUUUAUUACAAAGUCUAAGUCAAACCAACUGUUGAGACAAAUUUUAUAGAAAUGAUUAAUGCAUGUCUAUGUCAUGGCUUUGAUAACUUGAUGUUGAUUUCCUAUUUCUAUGAGAGUAUGCCCCCCCAAAUGAAACAACUAGUUGAAACUAUGUGUGGGGGUGACUUCAUGGGUAAGAGCCAUGAUGAAGCUAUUCAAUUCCCUAGAAUGCAUAGCUAAUGUACCAAAGGAAACAUCAUAAUCUAAUGCAACAAGUAAAUCUUGGUAGGACAUAUAUAUAGUAAAUCAAGAUAUGGACUUGCAAGUGAAUACCACAACUUUGUUUAGAAGAGUAGAAGAGCUAGAAACUAAAAGAAAAAAUUAUGGAUGAGAUUGUUGAGCAAGUUUGUGAGUGUGCUAUCUAUGAUUUUAAGGACACCAUAGGUGAGUGUUCAACAAUUCCAAUAGUUAAGGAAAUUUUGAGUGAACAGGUAGUUGUGGUAGGGAUGUCUAGUUGUAAUGAAAUAGGGUAUGUAUAUUUAGACAAUGACCAUGGAAUAAUUUAUAAAUUUCUAAGGAAAUUUUGAAUACCAAGAAAAUAAAGAAAAUUAAUUCAAUAAAUUCACUUAACCAACUCAACAACAAUUCCAAAAUCCAAACUAAUUUUAGAAUCAUCAACAACCUAAAUUAGUACCAUUUCAAUUGGAAACUCUCAUGCAAUCAUUCAUUAUAGAAGAAGAAUAAAUCAAUGAAGAAUUUAGAAAAUUAGUUAUACAAAAACACAAUUAGAAUGAGGAAUAGAGGAGGUUUAAUGCUCACACCUCUUAAGUCAUUACAAACAUUUAGACUAUGUUGAAUAAAUUGAACAUGCAAUCAAUUAAAAAGAGAUGUAAAUUUCCAACUUAACCACAUCAUAACCCUAAGGCAGUUUGUGAAGCAAGUGAAUCUAGAAAUUUAACACUUGAUCAUCAAGAUGUGAGGAUUGUAGUUGCUUUAAGAAGUAGAGAAACUUUGAAAGUGUUGGAAAUAAAGAGGAAGAAAGAAAUAAAAAUUGAACAAGAAGUAGAAUCAAUUCCUCUUAUUACUAAUAAGAAAGAUGAACUAAAUGAAAAAAUCAAGAAAAAAGAUAAAUUGAAUGAAAAGAGGACAACAUAUUACAUAUCUCUAUGCCAUUUCCUCGAGGUUUAAAAGGGAAGAAAAAUGAGAACAAACACUUAGAAGUUUUUAAAAUUUUAAAGCAAUUGAAAGUAAAUAUUAUUAUAUUGAACAUAGUGAAGCAAGAACCACUCUAUGCCAAGUUUUUGAAAGACUUAUGUCUUGUGAAGAGAAAAAUAAUGAUUGAUAAGAAAGCAUUCCUAAUAGAGCAUGUAAGUACAAUCAUUGAGUGCAAGAUAUUAGAGGAAUACAAAGAUCAUGGUUGUCCAAUAAUUUCAAUUGCCAUUGGUGAUUGUUUCAUGGAAAAGGUCUUAUUUGAUUUGGGAGAAAAUGCCAACCUUAUACUUUUUUCUCUUUAUCAGUAAUUAGAUUUAGGGGAGUUGAAGAUCAAAAUUAUGUUAUCUUUGGUUGGUAGAUCUACUAGGAGGAAUGUAAGGGAUGUGCUGGUGCAAGUAGAUAAAUUAUACUACCUUGUAGACUUUAUUGUGCUAGAUCUGUAGGUGAGUCAAAGAAGAAUAUAUGAAUGUUAUCCCCAUUAUCUUUGGGAAGACCCUUUCUUGCAACAGUUAUUGCAUAUUAACAAAAUGAAGAAAUGGAAUCAUAAAACUAAUAUUUGGAAAGAUGAUGUUGGAAAUUAAUAUCUUUCACUUGACAAAAACACCCACUUUGAAGGAAGAAGAAGAAUCAAAGGAAAUUUUAAUAGAUAUUUGUGAAACCAAGGUUUGGUUAAUCUCGGUUUUGAUGAUAACAAAACAAGGUUUAGAACUAAUGAUUAUAUUUCAAGUGUGAUUAGGUAAGACGAUUUUCAAAGUGACAAUCACAAAGACAAAUCAAGCCAAAGAGAAAUCAUUAAGAAGAAGACCUCAAAGAGAAGUGUUUUUCAAGAUCCAAGCUUCAUAAGAUCUCUUUGUAAGGUUGUUGGUGCACUAAGAUUUUCAUGCAUUACAUUCUCUACUUAUGCACCAAAAUCAUCUGAGAGUUUUUUCAUUUUAAAUCCUUUAAAAUUGGAUGAUUUCAUGUUUUCAACUAAAACCUUGUGUCAAAUGUUUUCAAACUUGUUUAAAAGGUUUUAAGUUGAAAAAGUUGGUUGUUGAGGCAAAAAUGACUCAAUCGGUUGAACUGGAUGAGGAACCGGUUAACACCCAGCUCAACCGGUUGAGAAGUGCAAAAAAAACUUUAUCUCUCUUCCAGAAUGGUUGCUCAACUAGUCAAGGUUGAACCUUAAUAGGUCGACCCCCACCUCAAUCGGUCGAGGUCUAGUCAAGGGGUGGUCAAGGUCUAACGGUCACCUGCCAAGCAUUAAAUGCUAAUAAUUAGUCAACCGGUCGACCCCCAGCUUAAUCGAUUGAACCCUUAACAACUAGUUUGACUUUUUUUUCUCUAUAAAAAGGCUCCAAUCUUCAUUGUUUCAUGAACUUAACCUUCCUAAACAUUUUUUAAAUAUAUUUGAGCCUUGGGAGAGUAUUUUGGGUACACCAUUGUUCUAAAACUUGCAUAUUAUUAGUGCACCAUUCAAUCCUAGUUUUCUUGUAUCAUUUGAGCCUAAAGUUUUGUACUAAGAUUUUGUGAAAUUAUUUGUUUAUCUUUGAGAGGAAGAAUCUAAGUGUGAGAUAUCACUUAGAGAUUCUUAAGUGUGGGGUAUCACUUGAGAGGUUGUUCAAGAGUGGGGUAUCUCUUGAGGAUUAUAAAGGGUGCUUAGAGCCAAAAAUCCAAAAUGGUGGAUUGGAACCAUAAUCCAAUUGUAUUGCUUGAAGGCUUAGUUUGAAAGCCUUGAAAUAGUGAAACCUCAAGCUUGGGAUUAAAGCUAGAGAAAAGUGGAUGUAGGCCAGGUUGCGCCGAACCACUAUAAAAAUCUUGUAUUUGCAUUCUCUUUUCCUUAUUCUUUUAAUUUAUAUGCAAUUGUCUUUAUAUUGUUUUAUUAUAUAUUUGCAUAUAAUUAUCUCAUACAUUCACAUAAUUUAAAUUUACAAAAAGAGACUAUCACCCUAUUCACCCUCCUUCUAGGGUGAUAACCAUAGGUUGGAUUAGCCUAAUUUUUCUAACAAUAUUGUUCAAGAGUACACUAAUUGUAUGUUGGACAAACAAGUUGAAGAAGUUUAUGUAGGAUUGUAGGAAAUUGAAAAAUGACAUGAGAUUAAGAAAGGAUUUGCGAAUCUAUAGAGGGGAAGUUGCCUAUAGGCUUGAAAUAUACGUACUUAGAAGGUAAAAAAGGUUGCCUAAUAAUAAUAUCAAUUAAGCUUGAUAAAAAACAAGAGGACAAAAUCAUCAAUACUUUGAAUAAUUGUAAGAAAGCUAGAGGCUAGUUGGUUCAUUGUCAGGAAUCACAUUUUUUGUUUUGGUCCUAGGCAACAGUGCCAAUUUUUGGUUUGAUACAGUUUGUCACUAGUUUAGAACAAAAUUUGAAAAUAAAUUUAGUGAUGAAGAUCUAUAAGAGAAAAUUAAACCAGAUUAGUUGUUGAAACUCGUAGCUCUUAAAUUAAAAAAAAAAAAACCAACAACUAUUGUCAUUAAGUCGUCUCCACAAGGAUAGAUUAACUAUACUAAAUGUAUGAAUUUUUGAGGUGUGAGUAUGUAGACCUUCCAUUUGGUCCUCAUAACACAUGUUUUUUUUUAUCAUACUUGUUUCCUCUCACCUUGUGCCCUCAUAUAGUAUGCAAGUAAGAUCAUUUUUUGAUUUUUUAUUCAUUAUGCUCUUUGGUGGUCCCUUUGUUACUUCGCUUUGGCAUUGAUUCUUAGGCCACUUUUAGAGACCUCUUGAAGGGAUUUUUUUGGAUCUGCAAUGUGACUUUAACGACAUCUUAGGUUUUCCUAAAGUUUUGUCGUGUUUAGAGCUCAUACAUGCCCUUUUUGUGUGACCCAAGACCCUUUUUUGGCCAAACUAGUCGAGGGAAACCAACUCAACUAGUUGAUUGGGUUUUGUUAUUUUCAAAACCUUUUCAACCCCUUUUUUGAGCCUUGUUUUUUUUUAACCAUUUUUUAGGGGUGCCCAAGGUGCUCAUUUUAAGGGGAAUUGUUUCUUGCAUUUCUUUUUGGAAGGAAAACUAUGUCAAAUUUCAUGGAGAAAGGGAGAAGAAAAGAUAGCUUGGAAGAGGAUUGGAAGCUUGCUAGAAGACAAGUAUUUCACUUGUGGGGAGUGUAAACCCUCCAUUUUUUUCCUAGUAGCACAUGUUACUUUAUGUGUUGUCCUUCUAGUUGCCUUAUAGCCAUCCCAUGGUGGUCCAUUAUCACUCAUUUGGUAUUAUUUUUGAGCCACCUUUGGAGUUUCUUUAUUAAGGGAUUUUUAUGGAUCCCAUUGUGACCUUUGUCGCACCUUAUUUUAGUACACUUAGCUGCAUUAUUAAGGUUCGUUCACUUAAAUGCAUUUCUAGGUUUAGAUCACUUAGAUGUACCUUACUUUAGUUCACUUAGUUUCAUUUUGCCUUAGUUCACUUAGUGGCACCUUAGGUUUAGAUCACUUAGUUGCACUCCAACUUAAGUUCAACUCACUUAGUUGCAUUUUAACUUAGUUCACUUAUUGACACCUUAAGUUCAACUCAUUUAGUUGCAUUUCCGCUCAUGUUCAACUCAUUUAGUUACAUUUUAACUUAGUUUACUUAGUGACACCUUAGGUUCAGCUUACUUAGUUACACUUCAGCUCACGUUCAAUUUUCUUAAUUACAUUUUUCCUUAGUUCACUUAGUGGAAUCUUAGAUUCAGCUCACUUAGUUGCACUCUAGCUCAUAUCAACUCACUUAGUCACACUUUAGGUUAGUUCAGUUAGUGGCACUUUAGUUUAGCUCACCUAGUUAUAUUUUAAGUUAGUUCAGUUAGUUGUCUUUUAUGAAUUUUCUUAGUUGUACCUUAGUUUAGUUGCACUUUAGGAUAACUCAUCUUAGUUAGGUACACUUUAAUUUAGUUUAUCUAUGUGCAUUUUUGGAUAGUUUAUCUAGAUGCAUUUUAGAAAGCCUUUUUAGUGCAUUUUAGGACAACAAUUCAUAUUACCUUGCAUAGCAUGUGCAUGAGGCUUAUUUGGGAAAACAAGGAAGGCUUUAAGACAUUGAAAUUUGAUGUUAACUAGGACACUUAUGGGAAGACAAGGAUUUGGAGUUGGAGAUUGCAAAGACUCUUUUUGCUCUACGGAUUAAUAGUUUUGAGAGGAUAAGAAAGGCAUAGAAAUUUGGAGGAUUUGGUUAGGAGGACGUUUUCAUGAUAUGCAUGAUAAGAGGAGUAAGGAGAAAGGACUUGCCACUUGGGGAGGAUAUUCACGUGAUUGAGUAGGAUCUUUUGGUGAGUUCAUAACAUUAGAAUGUUUGAAAAAGAGAAAAAAAUCCUUUAAUUAAUGCACCAUUUUUGGAUAAGGAAGAUAGGAUAUUGAUACAUGAAGGAUACAUGGCUAGCUCACCAAAAAAAGAAAAAUCUCCACUUUACAUGGAGAAUAACGACUGCACAUCCAAAGAUAUAACAUGUUACCCAUGGAAAUGAAUAAAAAGGGUUGCCCAUUGAAAGAUAUAACACACACCCCAUUGAAAGAGUCUAAGGGCCACGCAUUCCAUACAUGAUGCAUUCUGGAAAGCACUGCCACACAUUCCAUAUACACAACCACACAUGUAUGAAUAGGAGCCACAUAUUAUAUAAGGAAGCAUGUUGCAUAUAUUUGAGGGAGCCAAGACUCAUACACUCUUGGCGGGAUAAAUAGUCUCCAUGCACAUGGAAAGAAUAUGCGCCUUCACUAACACGUCGACUGCCAUUCACAUUGAUCCUGCUACAAUUACACCACAUUCUUGAGAAAGAUAAGUUUGAACCAUUAUUUAAUAUGUUUUUAAUUCAUUAUGUUAGUUAGAAAAGUUAGAAUUUGGUUGGUUUCAUUUUUGAUCAAUAAUAUUAGAUUAAAAAGUUUAAUUUUUGUUUGAUUCAUAACGUUGGUUUGAAAAGUUUAAGUUUAUUUAAUCUAAUUUUGAUUUUUGUAUUUUAGAUUGAAGGUUAGAAUUUUGUUUUAUUUGAAAGUUAUAAUUUUAGUUAGUUUUAGUUUAGAUUCAUUACAUUAACCUAGAAAAGUUUGAAAUUUGUUUAAUUUGGUUUUGAUUCAUCAUAUAGGUUUGAAAAGUUGAAACUUGGUUUAAUUUAGUUUUGAUUCAUUCGUUAGUUUGAAUUUUUAUUUUGAAAGUUCAUUUUGUUUUAGUUUAGUUGCAAUUUACCUUUUUAGUUUAAAUAUUUUAAUAAUUUUAGUUAUUAGUUUAAUUAAUUAUAUGUAAAAAGUUCAUGUUUUUAAUUUUGUCUUAGUUUAGUCUUAACUAAUCUCUUAGUUUAGAUGUGUUUGUGAUUUUUUGUUCAUUAGUUUAAUUAAUUCUAUGUGAAAAGUUCAUGUUUUAAAAUUCAUUUUAGUUUAAUCUUAACUUAUCUUCUAGUUUAGAUGUGUUUGUGAUUUUUAGUCCAUGAAUUUAAUUAAUUCUAUGUGAAAAGUUCAUGGCUUUAAUUUCGUUUUAGUUUAGUCUUAACUUAUUUUUUAGUUGAAAUGUUUUAAUAGUUUUAGUUUAUUAGUUUAAUUAAUUCCAUUUGAAAAGUUCAUGUUUUGAAUUUCAUUUUAGUUUACUUUUAACUUAUCUUUUAGUUUAGAUGUUUUUGUGAUCUUAGUUCAUUGGCUUAAUUAAUCAUAUGUGAUAAGGUUCAUGUUUUUAAUUUCUUUUAGUUUAGUUUAAUUUAUCUUUUAGCUUAGACAUUUUUGUGAUUUUAGUUCAUAUGUUUUAAAAUUCUAUGUACUAGUGUUACUAUAUUUCAAUUACAUGUUUAGGUGUUUGAUUGAUCUUUGUUAGUUCUUAAUUAAUAUUUUGUUAGUUUCUUGAUCCAUUUUUUUUAGUUUAUUGUCUUGGUAGUUCUUUAUCAAAUUGAAUUUUUAGAAGCCCUUGGAAAAUAAUGAAAAUUUACCUUUACUUUCACCAUAUUAGUUUGAUUAUGUUAACCCAAGGGUUCUCUUAACCAGAUUUUGAUAAUAACAAACCAUAGUUAAUUUACUAAUUGGUUUGAAUUGCAAAGAAUCUCAGGUAUUAAUUUGGAAAUUCAUCAAAUGACCUAAUGGAUACAAGAUCAAAACGUUUAGGAGACCUUUAAUCAUAGGAAACAAAUGUAAGAUGAAUGCAUGGGUGCACUUAGGUUUUACAUAUCAUUUCAUGCAUCUUUGGAAAACUUGUUUUAUUCCUUAAAGUUACAGCUUCAUUAAAACCCAAGUUUUAUCAAAUGUACCUUAUGCAAAACAUUUCAAGAUUGACAUAUUAAUUCACCUAAAGACCUUGCCUAAGUGUUAGAAGAGAAAAUAAUAGAAAAAGAUAGGUUUUUGAGGCCAAAAUGUUGAACUGAUCGAGGCACUGUGCCAACCGGCUCAAUCGGCCAGGGUACCAAUCAACCGGUUCCUUUUGCCCGGUUGAGGAGUGCAAAAAACACACACACUCUCUUUCUUUUCCUUCCUGGUUGAGGUAUUUUCCUUCCCGAUUGAGAUCCGAUCGAAGCAACGGUAAUCUGCCAAAGCAUUAAAUGCUCCAACGGCUAGUGAUCCGAUCGACCCCCAACACAACUGGUUGAGGCUGCUUUUUGAUUUUCUUGGCUCCUAAGGUUAGAAACUUAUAAAUAGAGAGCUCCACUUCAUUUAUGGGAUAUAGAACACCUACAUUUUUUUGUCUACCCAUUUGUUUUUGCCUUAAAAUCUCUCAUUUUUUUCUUGGUGCAUUAAAUCUUCACUUGCAUAUCCUUUAGUGCACCUUUUUGAUUCAUCCUAGCUUUGAUUUGUAUUUGAGCUAUCAUUGAGAUAGGUUGAGGGAUUCGUUCUUGUAAAAUUGAGUGUUAAAGCCUUUAAGUGAGUUGAAUCUUAAAGAGAUUGUAUAAGAGCCCAUUGGAGCUAGAAUCCAAGUGUAAAGGAGAUUAGAAGCUUGGUUGAAGCUUUAAGUUAGUGGAACUCUCACUCGGAUAAGAGCUUGAGGAGAGUGGACAUAGGCAAGGAAGUGUCGAACCCCUAUGAAAUCUGAGUUUGAUUUCUCUAACUCUAUCUCUUUAAAUUUGUUUCUAUUGUGCUUGAAUUUGUUAUGUUCAAAAAUAUUUUUAAAAACCUAAUUCACCCCCCUUCUUGGGUAUUUUUCUCAAUUAAGAUCAGCCUUUAUUUUCUCAAUUGGUAUCAGAGUUAGGCCUCUUGUUUAAGACUUAAUCGUCUAAGAGGAAAUGGUUAUUCCAUUAAGCUCAUCUCACACUGAAAGUUUUGCAAAAAAUAGAGCUCCAUUUUUUACGAGAACCGACUAUCCUUAUUGGAAGACUAAAAUGACUUGGUAUUUACAAUCAACUGAUUUAGAUGUAUGAGAUGUCAUUAAAGAUGACCCAACUUUUCUUUCAAAACUAGUUGAUGGAGUCAUGGUUCCAAAACCCAAGAAAGAAUGGAAUGAGCUUGAUAGAAUAAAUUUUCAAUUAAAUGCUAAGGCCGUUUUCACUUUACAAUGCGCUAUGGAUAGAAAUGAAUAUAAUAGAAUAUGUCAAUGCAAAUUGGCUAAAGAAAUUUGGAGAUUGCUUGAAAUAACUCAUGAAAGAACAAAUCAAGUGAAAGAGUCAAAAAUCAAUUUACUUGUUCAUAGGUAUGAAUUUUUUUUUAUGAAAGAAAAUGAGACUAUUGUUGAGAUGAUCAUUAGGUUCACCGGCAUUGUAAAUGGUCUUGAAGCAUUGGGAAAGACCUACAAGGAAUCCGAAAAGAUGAUGAAGAUCUUGAGGUCACUCCUAUCAAAGUGGCAUACAAAGGUCACCACAAUUCAAGAAGCCAAAGACUUGACCAAGCUACCUAUGGAGGAGCUCAUAGGGUUAUUAAUGACAUAUGAGAUCAAUUUGGCAAAGAAGCUACAAAAAAGUGAAGACAAAAAAAAGAAAAGCAUAACUCUCAAAGCUACAACUAAGGAAGAAGAAGAAGUUGAAGAAAAACAAAGUGAAGAAGAUGAUGAUUUAGUCCUCAUCACAAGAAAGCUCAACAAAUACACGAGAGGUGAAAGGUUUAGAGGAAGGAGGUUCACCUCUAGAAGAGACCUUUCUAAAAAGGAAUAUUCAUCUCAUGGUGACAAGGAAAAAUGGGAAGAGAAAAGAGAUUUGGUGUGUUUCAAAUGCAAGGAACCGAGACACAUUAAAUAUGAUUAUCCUCUCUACAAAAGUGAAGGUAAGAGGAGAAUGAAGAAGGCAAUGAUGGCCACUUGGAGUGAAAGUGAAGAAUCCUUCGAAGAAGAAAAUGAGAAAGAAGUGGCGAACAUGUGCUUCAUGGUAAUAGAUGAACUUGAUGAGGUAAACUCUAACUUUAGUGAUGAAGUUAUACAUGAUGUUUUCGAAGAAUUGUAUGAGGAUUUUGAAAAACCUAGUUUGAAAAAUAUUUCUCUUAAAAAGAAAAUUCAACAACUUGAAAAAGAACUUGGAGAAGUAAAAGAAAAAUUUUCAAUUGUUGAAAUUUCUAAAACUCAUCUUGAAAAAGAAAAUGAGAUUUUGAGAAAGAAAAAUGAAUGGUUGACCUCGUUUCUUUCAAUAUUUUCUUGUGGACAAAAAUAUUUUGAAAUGAUUCUAGCUAGCCAAAAAUGUGUUUUUGAAAAAUAAGAGCUAGGAUUCAAAUCUUCAAAAAAUCAAAAGUAUUUUAAAAACUAUUUUGUAAAAGAAUCCACAAGUGUAAGUCCUUCCACUACUUGCAACUUUUGUGGAAGAGGAGGGCACAUUAGUAGUAUAUGCCCCUUAAGAAGUGGUUCUCAAAAGAAUUAAAAUGCCAAAGCUAAAAAGGUUUGGAUUGAAAAAUCCAAGGUCACUAACCCUCAAGGACCCAAAAAGAUAUGGGUACCUAAAUCAACUUGAGUUUUAUAUUGUAGGGUUCAAAGAAGGAUAAGUGGUUAUUGGACAAUGGAUGCCCAAGACACAUGACCAGAGAUGAAUCCAAGUUUGCUUUCCUUACAAAGAAAAAUGGAGGAUAUGUUACCUUUGGAGACAAUGCAAAAGGAAGAAUCAUUGGUCAAAGCAACAUUGGUAAUGACACAUCCUCUCUUAUUGAAAGUGUUUUAUUAGUAGAUGGUUUAAAACAUAAUCUUUUAAGCAUUAGUCAACUUUGUGACAAAGGUUUUAAAGUAAUUUUUGAAGCAUCUCAUUACAUCAUCAAGGAUAUUCAAAAUGAUAAAACCAUCUUCAUAGGUCAUAGAUGUGAUAAUGUUUACGCUAUAAAUAUUUCAAAAUAUGUUGGCCAUGAUAGAUGCUUUUCAAGCAUGCAUGAUCAAAGUUGGUUGUGGCAUAGGAGGUUAGGACAUGCUAACAUGAACCUCAUUUCCCAACUCAACAAAGAUGAACUUGUUAGAGGCCUUCUCAAAAUAAAUUUUCAAAAAGAUAAAGUUUGUGAAACUUGUCAAGUGGGAAAGAAAAUAAAAAAACUCUUUAAAAAACAAAAACUUCAUUUCCACAUCUAGGUCACUUGAGUUAUUGCAUAUAGAUUUAUUUGGUUUCUCUAGGACACCAAGUCUUGGAGGAAACUCUUAUGUAUAUGUUAUUGUGGAUGACUUCUCUAGAUACACAUGGGUCUUGUUUUUAAGUCAAAAGAAUAAAGUUUUUUAUGAAUUUUCAAAUUUUUGCAAUAAGGUUCAAAAUGAAAAAGGUUUUAUAAUUACUUGUAUAACAAGUGAUGAUGGGAGAGAAUUUGAAAAUAUUGAUUUUGACGAGUAUUGCAAUAAGUAUGGAAUUAACCACAAUUUUUCAGCUCCUAAAACUCCUCAACAAAAAGGGGUAGUUGAAAGGAAAAAUAGAACUCUUCAAGAAAUGGCUAGAAUUAUGCUAAAUGAAAACAAUUUACCAAAAUAUUUUUAGGCUGAAGUAGUUAACACUUCUUGUUAUGUUUUAAAUAGAAUAUUAUUGAGGUCCAUUCUUAAGAAAACUCCCUAUGAGCUUAGGAAAAACAAGAAACCCAACAUUAGCUAUUUCAAAGUCUUUGGGUGCAAAUGUUUUAUAUUAAAUACCAAAGACAAUCUUGGAAAAUUUGAUGCAAAAGCGGAUGUUGGAAUUUUCCUUGGUUACUCAACUUCAAGGAAAGCUUUUAGAGUUUUUAACAAAAGAACCAUGGUUGUAGAUGAGUCUAUCCAUGUUAUUUUUUAUGAAUCUAACAAUUCUCUCCAAGAAAGAGAGAGUUUUGAUGAUGAUUUAGGUUUGGAGACCUCCAUGGGAAGAUUGCAAAUUGAAAAUAGAAGGUAACAAGAAGUAAUUGGAGAGGAUCCUAAAAAAAAAAAAAGAAUCACCAUUGACACUACCCCCUCCUCAACAAGUGCAAAGUAAAUCAAGCCAAGACCUUCCUAAAAAUUGGAAGUUUGUCAUCAAUCACCAACAAGAUCAAAUUAUAGGUAAUCCAUCUAGUGGGGUAAGAACUAGAUCAUCUCUUAGAAAUAUUUCCAAUAAUCUUUUUUUUAUCUCUCAAAUUGAGCCUAAAAAUAUAAAUGAACUUUAGAUGAUGAAAAUUGGAUGAUUGCUAUGCAAGAAGAGUUAAAUCAAUUUGAAAGAAGUGAAGUAUGGGAAUUAGUACCAAGACCUUCAACUCAAAGCGUUAUUGGAACUAGAUAAGUCUUUAAAAAUAAAAUAGAUGAAAAUGGCAUAAUUGUUAGAAAUAAAGCAAGAUUGGUAGCCCAAGGUUUUAAUCAAGAAGAAGGGAUAGAUUAUGAAGAAAUCUUUGCCCCUGUAGCUAGGUUGGAAGCCAUUAGGAUGCUAAUUGCCUUUGCAUGUUUUAAAGACUUUGUUUUAUAUCAAAUGGAUAUGAAAAAUGCUUUUUUAAAUGGCUUUAUAAAUGAAGAAGUAUAUGUUGAACAACCACCCGAUUUUCAAAGUUUUAACUUUCCUAACCAUGUUUUUAAACUUAAAAAGGCACUUUAUGGUUUGAAACAAGCACUUAGAGCAUGGUAUGAAAGAUUGAGUAAAUUUCUUUUGAAAAAGGAUUUUAAAAUGGGAAAAAUUGACACAACUCUUUUCAUAAAAACCAAAGAAAAGGAUAUGCUUUUAGUUCAAAUAUAUGUUGAUGAUAUUAUUUUUGGUGCUACUAAUGUCUCUCUUUGUGAAGAAUUUUCUAAGUGCAUGCAUAGUGAGUUUGAAAUGAGCAUGAUGGGAUAACUCAACUUCUUCCUUGGACUUCAAAUCAAGCAACUAAAGGAAGGAACCUUCAUCAAUCAAGCAAAGUAUAUAAGAGAUUUUCUCAAAAGGUUCAACAUGGAAGAAGCCAAAACAAUGAAGACUCUAAUGAGCUCAUCCAUCAAGCUUGAUAAGGAUGAGAAAGGUAAACCCAUUGACUCUACUAUGUAUAGAGGCAUGAUAGGUUCUUUGCUAUAUUUGACCGCUAGUAGACCAGACAUUAUGUAUAGUGUAUGCUUGUGUGCUAGAUUUCAAUUUUGUCCUAAAGAGUCUCACUUAAGUGCCGCAAAAAGAAUUCUUAGACAUUUGAAAGGGAUAAUGAAUAUAGGCUUAUGGUAUCCUAAGAGUGAUAACUUUGAAUUAAUUGGUUUUUUGGAUACUGAUUUUGUCGAUUGUAGGGUUGAAAGAAAAAACACUAGUGGCACUUGUCAUUUCUUAGGACACUCACUUGUUUCAUGGCAUAGUAAGAGGCAAAAUUCAGUAGCUUUGUCAACGGUGGAACCCAAAUACAUAGCAAUCGAUUUAUGUUGUGCACAAAUUCUUUGGAUAAAACAAACACUUAGUGAUUUUGAUUUAUCUUUUGAGCAUGUUCCUAUUAAAUGUGAUAAUACUAGUGUCAUAAAUAUAUCAAAAGAUCUCAUGCAACACUCUAGGACUAAGAAUAGAGAGAUUAGACAUCAUUUUCUUAGAGGCCAUGCACAAAAGGGUGACAUAACACUUGAAUUUGUAAGCACAAAAGAUCAACUUGCCAAUAUCUUUACAAAAACCUCUAAAUGAAGAAUAAUUUGUUGAUAUUAGAAGACAACUAGGGGCGAUUUCUUUAUGAUCUAAUGAUUGCUUAAUGAAUUUUUGAUGAAUAUACCUUCUAAUUGCAUGAAUUUCAUGUCAUAUGCAUCAUAUAGACAUAUACUUAGAUAAAUGGUCAAAUUUUGACCAAAAAUCAAAAUUCCCUUGGAAUUGGGCAUAAAAAAUUGGGGAUUUCAACUGAAAAGGGUAGAGUGAGGAUCAUAAAAUGAGAAAAUUCACAAAAGGUGAAAAGUCAAACUAUUGACUGCGUUGACCAGGCGGUCGGGGUUGGGGUUUUAAAUAACCUCCUGCGCUUCGUUUUCUCUACUGUUCUCCUUAAUUUCUUUAAGGCUUUUCUAAUUUUUGGCUUCUAAAGACGAUUUUGAGCAAGGUUUGGACUGAUUGAAGGCUUUAGAUUGGAUUUCUAGGAAGAUUAGAGCCUAGGGUUUUAGUUUUGGACUGCAUUUUCUUCCUCCUAGGCGUCAUAGUCAGGUUCUUUUCCAUUCCCUCGCACCUAGGGUUUCAAUUGUGAGUACUUAUCUCUCUACUAGCCUCAUCUCAUUUGUUUCUAUCUUUCUCAUGGCUCCUAGGAGAGAGUCGAUUGCCUCUAGGGCAUAGGGCAAACGCCCAGCUAAGCCGCCUCAGUCGGAGGCUUGCCGAAAGGUGAGAUUUGAUAUCGCCUUGUUCAGUUUCAUGGAGGACUACCAAUGGUAUAAGCAAAAGUUUGCUCAGAGGAAAGUAGUUCUAAGGAUAAAUAUCAAUUUCUCUCAACUCCAGCAUUUUAGAUUUGAGGGACUUUUCUCUAAGAUGGGUUGGCUGCUCAUGGUGAUGAUUUUGGAGCCAAUUUUCCCGACUCUAGUGCGAACUUUUUAUUUGAGGGCUACUUAUGGCAUUGGUGGCCCAAUUAUUUCCGCCGUUAGAGGAGUCGAGAUCCGUCUGAACUUGGAAAGCAUCUACCGCAUUUUUUAUAUUGCUCCAGUUAGACUCAAGGUGUAUGAGUCCAAGAUUUGGCCCAUUGUGCCUGAAUUCGAGCUUAGAGAGGGCAUUCAGAGGAUUUGCGAACUUGCAAACGCCCAGGGGAUGGGCAAACCAUCGGCCCACAGCUUAACCGUGAUUAGUAGAGUACUACACUACAUGAUUUACUCUAUCCUACUACCACAAGGAGGACACCGAGACGAGGUCUCCUAUUAUGAGGCAUUCCUCAUGGACUUUAUUUUGACGGGGAGAUGGAUCCACUUGGGGUACCUAAUGAUGAUGCACAUGAUCUCAUGUUGCGAGAACACGAUUUGUGUACUCCCCUAUGGCCGCUUUCUCACCAGAGUGUUCAAGGAUGCCGAGGUUGAUUUGAGUAGAGAGACAGAUUUUGAGGUCCCUAACAGUUAUGACACGUAUGAUGAUCUGUCGAUGAGGCAGAUGAAAUUUGAGAAGGCCCUCAAUGGUUCUUGAGUUAGACAAGUAGAGAGACCACUAGCACAGGCUUGGGGAUAGGGAGAUGCACAUCUCGGAGUAGAAGAGGAGGUCGAAAUACAAGAGAUGAAGGGUGAAGUAGACCUUUAGAGUGGCUAUCAGUAGAGAAAGCCCGAGCUUGGCAUUCCUCUACUCUAGUCAGAGGGUGUUUAGUUUGAGACCACAUUUUCUGAGCUGAUGAUGUUUGAGCCGACUUAUACAACGAGACCAUCUUCUUAGCCAUCAUUCAUUGAGCCUCAUUACACAGAGAUACCACCUCAUUAGGCACCUCACGCUCUUGAUUAUGCAUCUUGGAUGGAUCUAUCUACUCAGAUUGGCUCUCUCGGCACUCGUAUGGAGGAGCUUGCUAUAGUCAGUGAUACUCGGUUCUACUCCAUGGAGGAUUGCAUGGAUCAAUAUCAGACUAGCUUCACCUCUCUAUUUGAGUAUCUACAGUAGAGAUUUAAGCGUAUAGAGGAUCACAUGGAUCAGUAUCAGGUUGCAUUUGAUCAUCUCUAGUAGAGGAUUGAGUGCAUUGAGGGUCGCCUGGAGAGUUAGCAUGAGGAGAUCAUGGCUUACCUACACUCUGUGUUUCCACCUCCACCUCCUCAACCUUGAUUUCGUAGAGACCCAAUUUAUUUCUUUUUGAUGUUGCCAAAAGGGAGAUAUAUUUAAGAUCUAGAAGACUCACAUGCAUAUCAUUGUCAUAUUAUUUGUUUGGAUUGUAUAUAUGAUAGACUUAUAUGUUUCAUGUACAUUUGACUUAUAUAUGAUAUGCUUAUAUGUUUCAUGACUUACACUGUUUCCUAUUGAAAAUUCUUUCUCUCUAGCAUGUCUUGAUUAUCUUGGUUUUAACUUCAUAAAUUUUGAUUGAUUGAUCCAUAAUUGGUUUGAGGGGAAGAUUCUUCUUCUCCUUGAUAACCAAGGUUUGUCAUCAUAAUAAAUGGGGAGAUUGUUAGCCCAAGGGUUCUCCUAAUCAGGUUUUGAUGAUAACAAAACCAUGGUUAAGUUAUUAAUUGGUUUGAAUUGUAAAGAAUCUCAGGUAUUAAUUUGGAAAUUCAUCAAAGGACCUAAUGGAUACAAUAUUAAGACGUUUGGAAGACCAUUAACCAUAGAAAACAAAUGUAAGAUGAAUGCAUGGGUGCACUUAGGUUUUACAUAUCAUUUCAUGCAUCUUUGGAAAACUCGAUUUAUUCCUUAAAGUUAUAGUUUCAUUAAAACCUAAGUUUUAUCAAAUGUACCUUAAGAAAAACAUUUCAAAAUUGGCAUAUUAAUUUACCUAAAGACCUUGCCUAAAUGUUAGAAGAGAAAAGAACAGAAAAAGAUAGGUUUUCAAGGCCAAAAUGUUGAACCAGUCGAGGCAUUGGGCCAACUGACUUAACUGACCAGGGUACUAAUCAACCGAUUCCCUUUGCCCUGUCGAGGUCCGAUCAAGGAGUGUAAAAGACACUCUAUCUUUUCCAGUAGCCUUUCCUUCCUAGUUGAGGUCCGGUCAAAGCAACGGUAACCUGCCAAAACAUUAAAUGCUCAAACGACUAGUGAUCCAAUCGACCCUCAACUAUACCGGUUGAGGCUAUUUUUUGAUUUUCUUGGCUCCUGAGGUUAGAAACCUAUAAAUAGAGAGCUCCACUUCAUUUAUAGGAUAUAGGAAACCUGCAUUUAUUUGUCUACCAACUUGUUCUUGCCUUAAAAGCUCUCAUUUAUUUCUUGGUGCAUUAAAUCUUCACUUGCAUAUCCUUUAGUGCACCUUUGUGAUUCAUCCUAGCUUUGAUUUGUAUUUGAGCUAUCAUUGAGCUAGGUUGAGGGAUUCAUUUUUGUAAAAUUGAGUGUUAAAGCCUUCAAGUGAGUUGAAUCUUGAAGAGAUUGUGUAAGAGCCCAUUGGAACCGGAAUCCAAGUGUAAAGGAGAUUAGAAGCUUGGUUGAAGCUUCGAGUUAAUAGAACCCUCACUCAAUUAGGAGCUUAAGGAGAGUGAACGUAGGCAAGGAAGUGCCGAACCACUAUAAAAUUUGAGUUUGAUUUUUCUAACUCUAUCUCUUUAUAUUUGCUUCUAUUAUGCUUGAAUUUGUUGUGUUCAAAAAGAUUUUCAAAAACCCGAUUCACUCUCCCUCUUAGGUGUUUUUCUCAUUUAAGAUUAGCCUUUAUUUUCUCAUAUUGAUUGUCAAAAAUUUCACUUUGUGAUUUUGUUUUCCUAAGGUUUACUUAUGUUUAAUCCUCAUGUUUUUUAGGCGCAAAUAAUUUCUUUCAUUUAAAAAAAUAAACCCCUUCUCAAAGUGUUCCUUAUAAAAACCUAUUUAAAAAAUUCAUGUCGAGUCCUUAGGGUUAAAAAUCUUUCUUCUUUUUUUAUAGAUAUGCAAGUAGAUUUCAUUCGGUUUGCAUUCUUCUAGUUUUCAAUAAAAAUUUUUUUUGAGUGGAAUACGAAUUUAAGCUUGUCGUCCCAAAUAAAUUGGAUAAUUCUUGGCUUUGAUGAGUUUACAAGUACUUAUGCGAGGUUGACAAUGCAUAGGUUAGAUUUGUGUAUAUCAAAUGGGGAUUUGGUGAAAACCUUAUAAAAACUCAUUUUUCAAAAACCUUUUAUAACUAGUUUCUUUGGUUUACUACGUCUUUGAAAUAAAAAUUUGAUUUGACUUAUUUAGGAUGUUCCUAAAAUUUUCCAAUGAUUGUAUUUUAGAAUUUUGUUUGAGGCAAGUUUUUAUUUCAUUUUUAUUUUUAAAUAGGAGUUAUGAAUCAUUCUUUUGGUAGGUUUUAUUUUCACCUAAUUCUAAAUACCCGGAUUGUUCUUAUGUUUUUAAAUUUAUUUAAUGACUUAAAAUUUAUUUUAGUAUUUUUUUAAUUCUAGAUUCUUGAAGUUGAUUUUAGACACAUAAAAUAUUAAAAAAAAUGUCUUCACAAUUGAGAGAUAUAUUUUUCCUUUACUACACCUAUUGCACUAUCCUGAUUUUGAAUAGAGAGGUUGUUUGCUUGUUUUUGAAAUUGAUCCGUGUGCAUAUCAACCUGUUAUUAUUAUUAUUAUUAUUAUUAUAGGAGAGGUUUCCUGAUUUUUUCUGUAAUUAAAUUCUCCUUCAAGAUAUUUUUUUUAGGAUUUGAUUUAUGAAGCUUCCUAUUUCGAUUGCAUGUUGGAAAUUCUAUACAAUAUUUAACUUAUCUUUUAAUCUAGAGUUAAUUGGCUAAUCAUGGCUUGAUCUUGGUUUUUGUUCUAUAAUAUAGACAUAAUAAGGAUGUUGUAUGAUUUUUUCAUUGAUGAAAUAAUGCCUUUAGAUAUUUACUUAAGAUUUUUUUUCAUGAAUAAUACAAUUCUACCCCUUUGUUAUAUGCUUUAUCUUAAUCACUAAUUUUGGUGUUUUCCUAGCUAUCAUGCACAUUAGUUUAACUUUAAUAAUGAAUUGUAUGUAUAUCAUAUAUGAUAGUUGAUAUUGUUAGGACAUAGAGUUUUGUUUUAUUGUUAGUAAUUUUGUUCCUUUUAAUAUUAGGCCAUAAAAUUCUUUUUAGACAGUGACUUGCUAUCCAUUUAAGAUCAAGGGUUACUAUUCGUGUAAUCGGAAAGUCAUAGGUAUAUCUAAAAAGAUUUGGCUUGUGGCACAUUAGGCUCAUUUGAGGUAUAUAGAUAAUCGAUUUUGUUUUAAACUUAAAAUGAUUUAAAAUAAUUUUUUUGAAAAGGGCCAAAACGCUUAAGUGGCCUGAAGAUUUCAAAAAUCACCAUAGGAUUUCAAAAAAGAAACUUUAAGAAUUCUUCCUAAAGAGAAAAUAAUAAUUCUUAGAGUUUCUUUUUUGAAAUCCUAUGGUGAUUUAAGAAAAUAAGAAAGAUUCUUGUAAGUUCUUAUUUUGAGAUCUAUGGUAGCAUAGUGACAUCAAUUUUAACUCAAAAUUGGGAUUAUCUCUUGUGUCAUGGGGUAAGGUAUAUAUAGUUUUGAAGCUUAGGAAGUUAUAAAUCCAACAUUUCUAAUAGUUCACAAUUCAGAGUUGAAACGGGAGAGAUAUAAUUGAUUGAAGUAAGGGUAUGCAAAGAGCAUGAUAAUAUAGUGACGUCAAAUUUGACUCAAAAUUGGAACUAUCUCCAUUAUUUUUCUUAGGUCAAAGCAUAUAUGGUUUUAAAGCUUAGGAAGUCAAUAAUCCAACGUUUCAAACGGUUCAUAAUUUGGAGUUAAAACAAGGGAGAUAUGACCAAUUAAAGAAAGACUAUGCGAAGAGCAUGUUGUUUUAGGAUUGAGUUUGAGCCAAAUUAUUUUUUAUUGUUUGGGCUUGAUUUUGAGCCUCUUCUUGGGCUCAUUUUUUUGGUGGCAAUUGGGCUUUUUAAGGUUUUUCAAUUUCUACUAACCUUAAUAUUUGGUUUCAUGGCUAUUUUGGUAAUUAAGAUUUUAUCAAUUUUUAAUUAUCAAAUAUGUAACAUGAUCCCUAAAGGCUAUGGAAAAUAUUUUCAUUUAAUUUUUUCCUUAUCUAUUGUUUAUGCUCUUUAUUAAUUUCAUGUGGCUUACAAUAGGAUAUUUUAGUAUUCUUCAUUGGAUAUAAAUUUUCAUGGAUUUUUUUUUAAAAAAAAAAUUGGAAAACUUAUUUCAAUUGGAAUGUUCAUAGUUAGAAAAUUUUAUUUUAAGAAAAGAUAAGUUGGAAAAUGAUUAAGAGCUUUAUUUCCUUUUUAAAGAUUACUUCUUAGAGAUUUUAGUUUUAUUUAAAAUCUUCUCAAAUCUUUGAGAUCUUUAAAAAUACAAUCUUUCUUUUUUUUUAAAAAAAAAAUAUUUUUCCAAAUAUUUAUAAAAUAAUAUUUUUCCUACUUUUCACAAGAUUCCAAUUUAAAGAAAUAAGUUAAUUUUGGAAAAUUAGAUAGACAAUUUAUAAUCAAGAAGGUUACCAAAAUAAGUAUUCCAACCUAAAGAAAAGUAUUUUAGUAUUCUUAGUAAAUUUUCAUGAGAAGAUUUUUCUAAGAUUAUUUAUUUAAACUGAUUGUUGCUAAUGAUAAUGUCAUUCCUUUUGGAACUAUCCUUUUGAUUUCAGUAUAAGUGAUUUUCUAGGCUCUCCUUCUAUGAGAGAAGGAGAACUACACCUAUGAUGGUCCUCUAGGCUCACUCUCAUCUUCCUUUGCACUCCCCCCUCCUCUAAGAAAAGGAGGAGACCAUUUAGAUUGGAUAUGCAGUUCAAGGAUAAGGAAUAAAAGAAAAAUUCUUUAGCACAUGAGUCCUAGCUUAAAAGAUAAAUAAUAGAUUUGGAAAAUCUCAUGAUAGAGAAUUUAUGAAAAAAGAGGUUCUCAAAAUAUUUUUGGAAACUUUUAGUAUUUAAUGGAAAGAUAAAAUGUUUUAAAAAUAUUUUCCAAAAUAGAUUGGUUAAUUCCCUUUAAGGAAAUAAAUGUUUGUGGAAGUUUUUUAUGGAGAAUAUUUUACCCAUUAAGGAAUUACUAAAAUAUUAUGAUUUUGGUAAUAUCUAAUAGAAUAAAUUAUUAUGAAGUUUCCCAAGGAAUAUUUAUUAAAUUGGAAAGGUAUAGGGAUAAAGAAAAUAAAUUUGUAAGGAAUUUUGAAUAUGAGAAGCUAAAGUUCCUCUCUUUAAUAAGUUGCUCUUAAGAUUUAUUUUCAAAAUCUCAUAAAUUGGUUAUUUCCUUAUUACACUAGUGUUUCCAAUUUGGAAAAUAAAUAUUUUGAAAAUUUUCAUUAGAGAUGAUUUAUCAUUAAAAGAUUGUUACCAAAAGACUUAGUAAUUUGAUGCAAAUAAAUUUCUUUAAAAACAUUUCCUACAUAAAAUAUUUAUUAAUUAGAUUAAUUGUUUAUAUAAGUAGAAUUUUAUGAAAAUAGAUUUUAAAAUUUUAAGAGCGGAUAUUUUAUCAAAAUUCUUUUUGAAAAAUAUUCCCAUGGAAAUUUUAAAUUUUUCAUGUUAAUAUUUUCCUAUUACAAUAAGUACCUAAUUAGGAAAUAAUUUUUUUUUUGAAAAUUCUCAAGUAGAUAAUUUAUUCAUCAAGGUAAUUACUAAGUUUAAAAAAAGAAGCGUUGGAUGGGUUUUAAUACUCAGACAUGCCGCUAGUGCAAAUUAGCACUUGAGUGGGACGCUCAAUGGAUGUGUUGUUAGAUGCAACUUAGAGCGCUUUAGUAGUAGAGUCGUUGAAUGAAGCUUGAGCGCUUGAGUGUUAAGGAUGGAAUGUAGCACUAAAGUGACCAUAGCCUAAAUUGAAUUCUAACAGGGGAUGGAAGACUCAACUAACUAACAUAUAGACAAGGGUUAACACCAAUUUAAACAAAUUUGAACUAAAAAGUGCAAACAAUUAAGUUCAUAAACUUUCAACAUUAGCUCAGUCAAGUAAUAGGUUAAGUAAGUUACUUUAGAUAGUACACAUGAAUCCAUCAAGAAUGAAGUUUUAGGAUCAAAGGUCAAAGUUAAUCAUAAUCUCGGUUUUGAAACCAAAUGCAUAACUAUCGAUGUAUAAGAGUCAAUAUAAAAACAUCAACAUUGAUGUUCAAGGGAAUACGACUUACUAUCUAGUUCAAUAUUUCAAAAUUGAUCACUAGAAGAGAUCCAAUCAUGCCUUUGGUCAAAUUAAAGAACAAAAUCAAUCAAUUUAUACAAAGAUAAUUGAAUUUCUAUUUAACACGGCCUCAUUGAUCUACAUAUAGCACAACUUGACUCUCUCUUAAUAUGAUAUCUUUUUUUUUUCUUUUGAAAGUAGAGGCAUUGUACACCAUGAUAAAUUGAUUUUUAUUUUUGUUUUCAUUCAUGGCUGCAUUUGUAUCCACUUUGCGGGUGUUUCCAAAUGUUACGAGUAAGCAACAUACCUUUAAGAGCAUGAAUCUUGGACAAUAGUAUAAGAGUUAUGCUUAACUAAUGAUUCAAUAUUUUGCACUGAUUCACUUCGAGAAACAAAUAUAAUGAACAUAGACAAACAGGGUACGUGGAAAAUAAGAUUUGAGAUGACAACGAAUCCUUCCAAAGCAAUCAAAGUUUACUUUAUUGAGUUCCACUUAAGAAGUCUCCCUCUUGAUCAAGUAUAAGAUGUAACCAAUAUUGAAUUUCUCACAUACAAAGACAUUUAAUUAUUAGGAAUCAAAUACAUCAAUAGUGAUUAACAAAUAUCUAUGAUUCCUUUCACAUCAAAUCUUAUAGAUAUAGCAUAUUUCUCCAAAUCACAAACUUGAGGUAUUAUGCAUCAUGCUAAUAUAUGAAGUAAAUAAACAAAAAUCAUAUGCCCAAAACAAAAUAAGGCCAAAGGAAGUAAAAAGAUAAAAACACUAAGCUAAAAACCUUUAAAGCCUAUACCUAUGAUCAAUCGACUAGGCAUAUGCCUAGGGAUUUUCUAAGGUACUCAAACCUAAGAGAAUCAAGGGGUUUGGUAAGAAUAUUUGUCAAUUGAUGUUUAGUGAGGACAAACUCUAAAUAAGAAACUUUUUCUUCAAUAAGAUCCCUAAUAAAAUGAUGAUGGAUUUCAAUGUUCUUAGUAUAUAACACUAAGGUUAGGAUUUCUUCAACAAGGUUCUCCCCAUGCCUAAGUAUAUAACACUCACCUCUAAAAGUUCUAAAAUACUUAAGUUUAGGUUUCUCCUAGUCCAUAAUUCAUAAGAUGUCUCUUUGUUCCUCAUCUAAGAAAAAUCCUAUUAACAGUAUAACAAGCAGUAUUAAAAGCUUCUGCACAAAACUGCAUAAGGGUAUUAUGCAUGUGAAUCAUUACCUUAACCAUCUCUUAUAACACUCUAUUCUUUCUUUUAGCAACUCCAUUAUAUUGAUGAGUUCUAGGGGUUAAAAACUUAUGUUUAAUUCCUUUUGAUUCAAAAAGGAAGUCAACAUCCACAUUAUCAAACUUUCUUCCCCUAUCACUCCUAAUCCUUACAAUUGGAUGACCAAUUUCCACUUGUCUUCUAUUGAAUAAAGACUUCAAAUGUUCUAUGGCCUCAAAUUUCUCCUUAAGAAAAUUCACAAAUGAGUAUCUUGAAAAAUCAUCUACAACCAUAAGGACAUCUCUUUCCACCUCUACUUUUAGUUCGCAUUGGACCCAUAGGAUUCAUGUAAAGAAAAUCUAAAGGUCUAGUGAUCCUUAUCUCCUUAACCUGUGUGUGAACUCUUAGUUUGUUUUCCUUUUAUGUACUCACGAUAAAUGGGUUUAGGUUCACCACUAAGUUUAGGGAUACCUUUAACUUUUUCAAUAUUCAUUAAUUGCACAUGAAAAAAAUAUGGGUAUUGAUUUGAAUACCUCUUGAAUAAUUGAAAGUUCAAUAGGGAAUGCCCAAAGGAAGGAGAGGAAGGAGGGGAGGGCAAGGGUGAAUAGGUGAUUUAAAAAAUUAAAUCAAUAUUUUUGAAUUAUAAUAAUCACUUUUUCUUCUCCCAAAAUAUAAUAGGGAUAACCUGGAUAUUCAAAAAGGAUUUCCCUCCAAUAAAAAAAAUGAUUUUUAUGGUUAAUUGAUAUCCAAAUAUUAACAAUAUAUGUUGAAAAAUGUUAGGGAUAAUAAUAAUCACAAGAAUAACCAACCUAACAAACUCAACAACCGAUUAACCAAUUAACCAAUCAAUCCAAUAUAUUUAAUAUCUUCAACCAACAUAUAUGUAGGAAUAAAUAUAAACUUUUUAGAAUAGUCUUGAAAAAUAUUAGGUUAAAAUAAAUUAACCUAUUCUAGGAAAUUAAAAAAUAAUAUCAAAUCUAAAGAGAUAGACAAUGAGGUAUAAGAUUUUUACAUGGGAAACCCUCACAAACUGUGGAAAUAAAAAACCACGAGGUCUAAGACUUAUCAAUCAAAAUCCACUAUUCGAAAUCAAGUCACCUAGAUUUAUCUGGUUGUUUUUACCUUAAAGAUUUACUCUCCAGUACCUACAAAUUAAUCCACGUCCUCGACACAACAACUACCUAUUGCUCCCUAGUAGAUUCUUCAAUCCCUCCGAAGGGAUUACAAUUUUCAACCUACAAUUUGAAGAAUCGAAUCUUUGAAUGAGAGAAUGAGAAUAGUGUGGCAAUAAGGCUUUUUUUCCUUAAAGAGUACCUCUAAAGAAUGCGAGGUCUCUAACAAUUAGAUCUCUACGAUCUCUAAUCUUUUAACCCGAAUCUCUAACCCUCAAAAGGUUAUAAGGGAGGUAUUUAUAGGCAAAAACUAUAAGGAUUUUGGUAUCACAAGUUUCCAAAUUAGAGUUGGAUUGAAAUUCAUUCAAAAUACAUUUCUAAACUUGGAAAGACUGUCAUGAACGUUUGAGUGGACUUAGACCACUUGAGCACUCUAACCGCUUGAGUAUGAUUAAUUGCAUGAGUGCUUUAACUGUUUGAGCAUCCCCUACUUUUUGAAAAAUCGUUUUAAAAAUAUGUUAAGCUAAAAAAUGAUAAUGAACCUUUUAUACCUCAAAUAAGCUUUUAUAUGCCAUAAACCAAACCAUUUUAGAUGUAUCUAUGACUUCCCAGUUGGACGAACAACAACCCUUAAUCUUCAAUGGAGAGUAAGUCACUAUCUAAAAGGACUUCUAUGGCUAAGUAUAAAUUGUAACAAAAUUGUCAAAAUAUAAACAAGACUCCUAAAGCUCAAUAGGAUCAAGCUUAGCACAUAAGAGGUGUUCUAGAGUUAGGUUUUACAGCAUAACAAUUAUCAAUUGUUCUAUGUCCUAUGAUGACUACUUUUUUUUUUUUUUAUUAACUACCUUGCAUAAGUCUUGGUGAAAAUUCAUAUUAUGGUCUUUAUCGCACAUUUAUCUAAUGCUUAAGAGGUUUUUUUUUAAGUCCUUUAAUAUAAAGAACUUCAUCUAGUUUGGGACAACCAGGGAUAACUAUACUACCCUUGUCUUUCACUUUAGCUAGGUUUCCAUCUCCAAAAGUAACAACCCCACUAUCAUAGUUUUCUAGAGAAGUGAAAGAGGAUUUCUUUACUAUGAUGUGCCUAGAGCACCCACCAUCAAGGUACCACUUACUAGAAGAUUUAGCUUUAAGUGCAUUUAACCCAACUUGACAUUUGGACUUAUCAUUUCUCAAUCAAACUUGCUUAGUCCUAGGUGGUGACUUGGAGGAACUAGAUUGAUUUCUAGGUUUUUGAUUGGUUUUAUUCCUUUUCCAAUGAUUCAAGAUGUUAUUUUUAAAGGAAUUAAAAUCAUUCAUAGGUCUAUUCAUUUGAGUUUCAAACCUUUCUAGAAACUUAGUGUAGCACCUAAAUUGAGAGUAUCCAAUUUUCUUACAAUGUGUGCAUAGUGAUGUCUUUUUAGGAGAUUCUACUUGGUUAGCGGUAUCAUCCUUACCUUUGACACACAUAGUUUCUCCACUACAGGGAGUUUCAUCUUUGUUGAUAUUCCUUAAAACUCUUUUAUCACCAUGGGUUUUGCAUUUAUCAAGUAUUUCAUUAAGCACUUAGUUCCAAGGUGAAAAUUUUCAUUCACAGAUGAAGAAGGCUUAUUAUUCUUGAUCUCUCGAGUAAAGGCAUUAUUAUUCUCAAGGAAAGAAUGAUGCCCAUAUUCAAGAAAUCUAAUUUUCUCAACAAGAUUAGUCUUUUUAGUAUUAAGCACAUCAAUCUUAUUUUUUAUGAGCAUUAAGAACUUCAUGAUUUUUCAUAUAACUCUUAAUUAAUCUUUCAUGCUAAAUGACAAGAUAAUCAAAGAAUUCAGCCCUUUGUUCAUUAGUAAACUCAUCAUCAUCACUAUUAUUAUCACAAUCAGAAUCAUUCUCAUGUUUCAUAGAUGCAACAAAAGCUAACAUGUCAUUAGGAUCAUACCUUGCAUCUUCAAAAUUUGUAAAAGCAUUGUAUUUAGAAUUUGAAUCAUUCCAUGUUGCUUGCAUAGACUUUUUGAUAUUUUUGGGACUAGGACACUUUUGAGAAUAGUGUCCCAAACUUCCAUAGUUAAAGCAUUCGACUUUUUUUUACAUUAGGAGGAACCUUUUCCUUUCUCAUUAGAUGAUUUUUCAUUGGGUCUUUUUUCUUUUCUAGAUUCUUGGUUCUUGUAGAACCUUGGUUAAAUUUCAUGGUCCUUUUAAUCUUUUUGGUCAUAUGUGUUAAUUCAUCAUGAGUUAUGUGAAACCAAGGUUUGGUUAAUCUCAGUUUUGAUGAUAACAAAAUAAGGUUUAGAACUAAUGAUUAUAUUUCAAGUGUGAUUAGGUAAGACGAUUUCUAAAGUGGCAAUCACAAAGACAAAUCAAACCAAAGAGAAAUCAUGAAGAAGAAGACCUCUUCAAAGAGAAGUGUUUUUCAAGACCCAAGUUUCAUAAGAUCUCUUUGUAAGGUUGUUGGUGCACUAGGAUUUUCAUGCAUUACAUUAUUUACUUAUGUACCGAAAUCAUCCAAGAGUUAUUUUGUUUUAAAUAUUUUUAAAAUUGGAUGAUAUCAUGUUUUCAACUAAAACAUUGUGUCAAAUGUUUUUCCAACUUGUUUAAAAGGUUUUAAGUUGAAAAUACUGGUUUUUUUUAGCCAAAAACGGCUCAACCGGUUGAACCGAAUGAGGAACCGGUCGACCACCAGCUCAACCGGUCAAGGGUAUGAAUAAUAACCGAUCGACCCCCCAACUUAACUAGUCGAGGGUGCAAAAAACUUUCUCUUUAUUCGAGAACCGGUUGAGGUCCAGUUGAGGUCUAACGAUCACCUACCAAGCAUUAAAUGCUAAGGGCUAGUCAACCAGUCGACCCCCAGCUCGACCAGUCGAACCCCUAACGGUUAAUUUGGUUUUUUUCUUCUAUAAAAAGGCUCCAAUCUUUAUUGUUUCAUGAGCUUAACCUUCCCAAACCUUUCUUGAAUAUAUUUGAGCCUUAGAAGAGUGUUUUUGAGUGCACUAUUGUUCUAAAACUUGCAUAUCCUUAGUGCACUAUUCAAUCCUAGUUUUCUUGUAUCAUUUGAGCUUAAAGUUUUUAUACUAGGAUUUUGUGAGAUCAUUUAUUUGUAUAUCUUUAAGAGGAAGAUUCUCAAGUGUGGGGUAUCACUUGAGAGGUUAUUCAAGAGUGAGGUAUCUCUUGAAGAUUGUAAAGAGUGCUUGGAGCCAAAAGUCCAAGAUGAUGGAUUGGAACCAUAAUCUAAUUGUAUUGCUUGAAGGCUUGGUUUGGAAGCCUUGAAUUAGUGGAACCUCAAGCUUAGGAUUGAAGCUAGAGGAGAGUGGAUGUAGGCCGGGUUGCACCGAACCACUAUAAAAUCUUGUGUUUGCAUUCUUUCUUCCCUACUCUUUUAAUUUAUAUGCAAUUGUUUUUAUAUUGUUUAUUAUAUACUUGCAUAUAAUUAUCUCUUACAUUCACAUAGUUUAAAUUUGCAAAAAGAGACCAUCAUCCUAUUCACCCCCGCUUUAGGGUGAUUACCAUAGGUUGGAUUAGCCUAAUUUUUUCUAACAAGUUAUAUUAUAUGGCAUUUCAAUAUCUUUUUUCUCAUUCUCAGAAGCCUUAAAGGCAGAGACUUUAGGCUUAUGGGAAUCAAGUAGGGUCAUUUCAUAUGUUUGAAUGGAGCCUACAAGUUCAUCAAUGUCCUUGAUCUCCUCUAUGAUAGUUACUUUAGGUAUAAAUCUCUUUAGAAGAGAUCUCAAUAUUUUCCUAACUACAUUAGAAUUAGGAAUAGGUUCUUCAAGGUUAAAUGAAGAUUUUACAAUAUCCCUCAAUUCAUAAUAAAAAGAAGAAAUUUUUUUAUUGUCAAGCAUCCUAAUAUUCUCAAACUUAGUAGCAAGCAUUUGCAAUUUAGAAAUCUUUACAAUAGAUGUACCUUCAUGAGUGACCUGAAGAAUAUCCCAUGCUUCCUUUGCACAUUUUCAAUUUGUUAUCUUAUGAAACUCAUGUGGACAAACUCCAUUAAAAAUACUAAAUAAAGCCCUAGCAUUGGUUUCACUACUUAUUCAUUAUCAACUUUUGUCUCAUUCAUGUUUAGGUUUAAGUUCUCAUGUUGAUCUUCCUUGAGCAUCAAUGAUCAAUGGUGCUUCCCAACCAUAUUCAAUUGAAUUCCAUACCCUUUCACCUUGCAUUUUGAGGAAAAACAUCACUCGUGCUUUCCAAAGGGGAAUAAUUAUUCCCAUCAAAAUAGGGUAGACUGUUCAAAGGAGCACCACUUUUAGAUUGUUCCAUAUCGGACUUACAAAAUCAAUAAAAAUUUGAUUUUUAUCUUAUAUGAUUAAUAAAAAUUUUAUUUUUAAAUAAUAUAAACAAUAAAAAUUGAAUAUUUUAUCAAUAGGAUAAAGAAUUGGUUUUUUAUCCCACUCUGAUACUAAUUGAAAAAUGGGUAUUACUUAAAUACUACUUAAAUAAUAACUGAAAGUCUAAUAAGGAACACCCAAUAAGGGGUGAAGUGCAAUUUUAAAAAUUUAAAUAAAUAUUUAUAAAUUAUAACCACUUUUCUUAUAGGGAUAAGUUGGAUAUUCAAAUAGGAUUUCACCCUAAUUAAAAAUCCCAUUUUUAAUGGUUAAUUGAUAUACAAAAAAUAACAAUGACCAAUCUAACAAACUCAACAAUAAUCACAACAAAUCAAUAAUUGGUUAUGGUAUAACCAUCACAAGAUAACUAAUUCAACAAACCCAAAAACCAAUUAACCAAUCAAUAUCUUCAACCAUAAUAUAUGCAAGAAUAAAUAUAACCCUUUUAGAAUAGCCUUGUAAGAUAUUAGGUUAAAACAAAUUAAUAAAUUCUAGGCAAUUCAAACGUAAUAUUAAAUGGAUAUGUAAUGAGGCACACAAUUUUUUAUGUGGAAAACCCCCACAAAUACAAAAUAUCUAAAAGUCACAAUUAACAAAUAAUCUAGAAAAGCGUAUUGCUAAAUUACAUGCCUAAUUUAUGUGUAACUAAUUACAUGCCUAAUUUAUAGGAAUACCAUAAUAAAAGCAUAUUGCCUAAAUUGAGAAAAGGAAACUAAAUAAAUACAAAAUAUACAAUAAUCUAGAAAAUGGAAGAAAAUAUACAACAAACUUUUAAUGGAAGAAUAAAAUAUACAACAAUAUUUUAAUAACAUCAAUUACUUUUUGAUCAAAUUUCAUGAUAAGCACUUUAAAAACUCCUACAUCAAAUUUCACGAUAAGAUAGUAAAAUGAUUUAUUUUAUUUUCUAUAAUUGUUAUAAUUGUCAUUUUUUUAUGUUAUUAGAAUAUUAUUCAUUUUUUUAUUAUUCAUAGUCUAAAACUAUGUAAAAGAGGAAAAAAUGGUUAGUAAAUUACUUUAAUAAGCAUUAAAACUCAUAUAGGUAGAAGUUAUGUUAUAAAUUAAAAUUAUACACAAUAAGAAACUAUGUAAUUAUUGUUUAUAACUAAAACUUAUGAAAAAAAAGUAUUCAUAUUUUUUUUGACAAAUUAAAAUUAUAUAUAGCCAAAAUAUAUGAAAUUAUUAUUCAUAAUUAGAAAUUAUGAAAAUAAUAAUAUUAAUAUUUUUUUUGUACUAGCCAAAAUCUAUGAAUUUUAAAGUAAUUAUGAAAUUUAAUUAGAUUAUGAUUCUUGGAUACUCCUCUAACAACACCAAUAAACUAACAACACCAAUAAAAGAGCAAUAAAUAUCAAGAAAAUAUUAUAUUUUCUAAUGUAAUUUUGUCAAUGAAAAAAGAAAAAUAAAAUAAUAAUCAUAUUGUCAAUUUUUAGAAUAAUAUUAUUUAAGGAGACUUAUCAAAUUUAAUUAUAUUCUAUCAAUAAUAUAUCUAUAUAUAUCUAAUAUUUUAAGAGUCCUAUUUCAUAAUAUAUAUGAUGAUUUUUAUCUUAAGGUGAUAUAUUUCUAACAAGAAUUAUUGAAUUGAUGUUAUAAUCUUGAAGUAAUAUUUAUCUUGAAAUAAUUUAAAAUUGUAAAAUUGAAUAACAUGAUAUAUAUUUUGUUUUAUGGUUAAAGUUGUGUUGAUUUGAUAUAGCUAUUAUUGUUCUCACAUGCUUUUGUUUUCUUCUACCAUUCGACAUCUCUUAGUUUCCAUUAGAUUUAAGUGAUGAUAUAUUUCUUCUAUUUUAUACAAUAAUAUUUUUUCCAAUAUUGAUUAUUGUAAGCUUAUUAUUAUGAUCCCAAGUAAACUAUUUUGCUAAUUAAAAUUUAUUAAUGAAAUGUUUUUAUUAUUAUAUAAAGCAAUCUAAAUUAUGUUUUUUUUUUUAUUAACAUACACAUCUCAUUAAAUUUUUAUUGUAAGUAAAAAAUGCAUCAAACUUAAGUAGCUAACUUGAAAUAUUCCUUGAGGAUUUAUAGUUCUAAGAGAUGAAAAAUAAAACUUUUAACUCCCUUAAUAUGAUUAUUAUGCAUAUAAUUAAUAAAAAUAUUUAAAAAAAAAUCAUAUUUGCAUAUUAUCAUAUUUUAUAUAUUUAUGAGAUAGUUACAAUUUGAUAUGCAUUAAAUUUUAAGGCUGUUGAAAUAAAUUUAAAUAAAUAUAUUCUUAUGUUUUAUCAUGAUCGAGAUUAAUUGUGCAUUAAAAUUAUUAUAUGUUACAUAAAAUUUUGGAUUGUAUAUUUCAGUCUCAUAAUAUAUAUAUAUAUAUAUAUGAUCUGAAUGGUUCAAUUCUGAAUAUGAUAAACAUAUUUAUUCAAUUGGUUAUACAUAAAUAUUUUAUUCAUACUAUAUUUAUAUGAAUAAUUCGUUAAGUUAUAAUGCUAUGAAAUUAUUUAGAUGAAAAGUUUUUAACUUUAAAAUGUUGAUGACAAUUGUUUUGUUCAUAUAAUUUUUUAAUUGAUAAAAAUAAUAUGUUUCUUUUGUCAUAUUUUAUAUAUUUUUUUAGCAUAAUUUGUUUAAUAUGCUAGUACAAUCAUGCAAUAAACUUACAUUUUUUAUUAUUUGAAUGUGAAUUGAAAAAUUUUAUAUUUUAGUUUUUUUUUUUGUCAAUAUUGGGAUAAUUCCAUAUAGCAAGAUUCAAAUUUUAUAUGCAAGAUUUGUUUUAAGGGUGUGUAAUUAUAUUUAAAUGUUUUGCAUCAUAUAGAAAUCAUAAGAUGAACUUUUGGAUGUGAAUUUCAAUAGUUUUAAUAUUCUAAUGUUUACACAUUUUAUGAAAAGUAUACAAAAGAAUUUUCUAGAAGCAUAUUUAUCUUGUUCAAAUUUUUUGGUUUGUAUGAACCUUUUUAUUUAUUUUUUUAUUUAUCAUUGUUUAUGAAAGUUUCAUGUUCUCAUUCCUCCUCCAUAGUGUACUAAGUUGGUCCUCAAUGAUGACUAGUAUUUUAUUUUGUUCAUUUUAAUUUUCUCUUUAUAAAGAUAUCUUGAACCCUUAAAUAGUGAGAUUUUUACAACACACUUUUAUGGAUUGUUAUUUUGAUGAAACUAUUAUCUCAUCAAUUGUGCAACUUAGUAACAACUAAUGUUAGUAACAACUAAUGUUAAUACCAUACUAGGUAAUAAGCACUUGAUUAAAAACUCUAAAAAAAAGUUAACAUCAUAUCAUUAGUGACAUAUGAUGAAUAACACUUUGAACUCUAUCAUACUUAGAAGAAUCUAACAUGACCAUCUUGGUCCCUUAGGAUAAAUAAUGAUGCAUCCAUUCAUUCCAAAAUCACAAGAAUAUAAAUUUUAAAACUAUAAGUUUUUACCUAGUAACCAAUUUAUUUAUACCCUUGAAGGGUUGUAUGAAAUAUUGUAUAAAUUGUCAUUAUGAUGAAACAAUUUUCGUGUUGUUAAGGAGAGAAAAGCCAAUCUCAAAAGAAUGAUGUGAAAAUUUUUGGAUUCUAGAAGAAUGUGACAUUUUUUAAAAUAUUUUACUGGUGAAUAUGAAUUGAUAUACCUCAAGGACAAUAAACUAAUACUACAAUUAUUAAAUCUAAAACACACAUGAAGUAUGAUAACUUGAUAUUUCAAUAAGACAUUAAGAGUGCGGUUCGCAGUGAUUCUGAGAACGGUUUCUAGCCUUUCUAAUGCUUGAAAAAUAAAAAUUUUUAAGUGUUAAAAAGACUAGAAACACUUUUCAGAAUCACUGCCAAACGCACUCUAAGACAUGCUUGAAGCAUUAUAAACAUGUCAGCUAAAAAGAAAUAUUCCAUGAAGGUGGAAGGUGCACAAGAAAAUAUAUAUGCAUGUAAGAUUGAUACUCAAAAAGGUUAUAACCAUCUAGAAAAUGAUAAGAAUGACUAAUCAAUACAAAAUUGGCUUAAUAAAUAGUCUUUGAAGAGGCAUGAGUUGCCCUUGAAAAUACACAAAUUGGACAAUAUAGCCCCAUAAAAGGAAUAACCUAAAUAAUAACUCUUAAAAAGUUACAAAUACUAAAAAGUAAAAAGAUCUUUAUUAGUUAUAUAAAUAUUAAUAUCAGAAGCAUAAUAUCAAAUAAUGUUGUCAUGGAUGAUAUUUCUUCCUUUUAGAUGAAAGGAAUGAUAAAUAUUACAAAUCAUGAAUUAUGUAAAGAAUGUCGAUGUAUAAAUACCUAGCUAAAGUAGAAAGAAUCAACUAAGACAAAACUAAAUUUAUCUAUAGAAGUAUUAGGACUAGAAGUCCAAUACUUAAAAAUAUGAGUUUGAUUGGAUGCAAAAAAACUUGAAGUUCAAUAUCUAAAUAUGUAAAAUCUAUUGGAAAUAAAUGACAUGAAGCUUAAAGCUUGAAGACAUAAAAACCAUUUGAUGUCAAUGAGUUAUUAUACCAAAGUGACACUGAGAUAAAAGAAAAGUUAUAGCAUAAUGUUUUCAAGUGGCAUGUUAGUCCACUUAUUAACAUAUAUAGGGAAAGUCCUAAAGUGUUUUCAUGUGCAUAAAUCACACCCAUUUAACUCCCUUAUAGUUGUUCUUUCACUUGAACUGAACAAAAAUAUGUUUGAUCCCAACGAAGAAGAUGAAGAAUUACUUGGUCCAAAAGUACCCUAUUUUAGUGUGAUUGAUACAAUGAUGUAUCUUGCAAAUUGCAUAUGAUUAAAAAUAUAAUUCUCUAUCAAAUUACAAGCAAAAUAGAGCUUUGUGCAAACUUGAAGACAAUGGAAUGAUAUGAAACUCAUACUAGUAUAUCUUCUUGGAACAACUUACAUGAAUUUAUUUUAUUCAAAAGGAUAAAAAUCUUAGUUGCUUUGAUAUGCAAAUGCUAAUUAUCUUUUAGACCUAUAAAACUCGAUAUAAAAUGGGAUAUGUAUUUACUUAUGGUGGUACAAUAAUAUCGUGAAGAUCAAUUUAGCAAAUAAUGAUAGCCACUUCACCAAAUCAUUUAGUGAUACUCGCAAUUCAUGAAGUAAGUCACAAAUGUAGGGCUAAGGUGGUCACUGAUCCAACAUAUUUGGGGAGUUAUGUGAGCUAUCCUCUAUAAAAGAUUUUCUGACCAAGUUACAUGAAAACAAUGUUAUUUAUAUUGCACAAAUCAAAGAGGGUGACAAAAUCAAAUUUAUCCCUCUAAGUUUUUUUAUACUCAUGAGCUAAAAGAAAAUGAUGAAAUUGAUAUUCAACAAAUCUAACCAUGUAAUAAUCCAAUAGAUGUAUUCAUAAAAUUGUUUUGACUACAUUGGAAUUAAGAGAUCUACAAUUGAAGUAUCAAAGAAAGUAUAAUUAUGUGUACAUUAGGGGCAAUCUAUUGAUAUGCAUACAUUAUACUCUUUUUUUCUUCAACCAAGUUUUGUUUCUUUGCAUUUUACUAGAAAAAUUUUUAAUUAAAUAAUUCUAAAGACUAAAUUAUUUAAAGAAUGUUGUACUUUUUUUCCUUCACUAUUUUUUUUUUCGGACUAUAUUUUUUCCAAUAAAGUUUUAAUGAUAUAUUCUUAUUAUCAUUGAAAGGAGAGUAUUAUGAAUGAUGGAAUUUGUUACGAAAAUCUAUUAGAAUAUGAGAACGUUUAGAUAAUCCGCCAAUUUUUGUUAUAGAUAGUUAUCUCAAAUCCUAUUAUAAAUCUUUCCUUGACUUUCUAAAAAGAGAAACCUACAAUAAGAAUAAACACACUAUUAUGAAGAUUACAAUUUGUUUCUCUUUCAAUUUCUUCUUCUUAUUUUAUUUUACAAUAAUUUUUCUUUUUUUAUUAUUUUUCUCAAAUGAAUUCAAAUUAAGAUCAAGAGUUCAAGAAAAGAAGAAAACAAACAAAAUAAGUUUACGAAAAUGUUUAAAUUCUUAACAAUUAUUUUUAAUUGAAAUUUUUAUGGUCAGAAUGUGCAAGCAAUUCCCUCAAACCCUGUUGGUAAUCUGAUUAGCGGAGUUCUCUUUUCAUGAAUUUUCUUGCAUUCCUUGCUCACCCAAAAGCUAAUUUACUCGUCCAAAUGCCGCCGAGUUUAAUCAACUUCCUCUGCAAAGCAUCUUCCACUAACCGUUUAGUUGAAUCAUUAUUUUAAUAGUAUAACAUUAGAAAAUUAAUUAUGAUGUUGAAAUUGACUUUUACUGGUAAGUUAGCAUUAUAUAAUCUUUAAAAAAAUAAUUUUUAACUGUAUUCAAAAAAAUAAUUGUGAUAAAAAAAAUAGUGUAAACUUCAAUAAAAAUUAACGUUUAAAUAUUUAGUGAAUUAAAUUAUUAUGAACAUGUGUAAUGACCAAAAUAUAAACAUUGUUUAUUAAAUAAACUGUUUUUAUAUUUUAAUUGAAUUUAAUGUACUAGUUUUUUUUUUUUUUUUUUUUUUCAUAUUUUACAGUUAAUAGUAUAAAAUAUAAAUAUUAGCAAGUAUAAAAACUAAAAAGAAAAUACUAAAAUUGUUAUAAAAAUUUUCCCUCUAAAAUUUCCCUUAAAAAGAGGGGGAUAUCUAAUUAUUGAAGAACUGUACUUGUUGAGCGGCCUCACAGGCUACACUUUUAAAAAUCCCAUGUGGAGACCAUGUGGGGGAUUUUUUUUUUCCUUGCCAAAGCCAAAACCCAUGCCUCAGAAAUUUUCUACCCGUGGGACCCUCUUGCCCUCAAAGCAUCAGCAUGUUUUCCGGAUCCUGCCAAUUCCCCCUUGUCUCUUAAUCAGCCUCUCUUUCUUAAUGCACCAUCACACUCACUAAACCCUAAACCCCAAAUCCCCAAUUCAACUUUUCAUUUUCAUUUUCCCUUUUUUUUUUCUCUCUUUACAAUAUGCCCCAACUUCAUUGCAAUAUUUCCCUCUGAGCCUGCAGGCUUUUUUGACUUACUGUGUAUCUAUCUCAACCCCAUGCUCUUUUGUUUGAUUGUAGUAUUUUUCUGUGAAGAGCAUAAAGAACAUGUCUUUGUUUCACAUAAUCAUGUUCUUUUCAGGGCUCAUAAAGGGUAGAGUUUAAUUGCCAUUGAUUUUGAGUCACUUCAGGCUGGUUAUCAGGGCGAGUUUUGAGGGAGUCCAAAGGAAUAGCGGAUUGGUUAAUUUUGAAAUUUUCGUGUAUGCUUCACCACCACCACCACCACCACCACCAUCAUGGUCAGGACCUCAACAAAAUCACAAGCACAUUCAUGAAGUGAAUCAAUUUAAUGAGUUUUGUUUGUAUUCAUGAUAAGUAACAAACGUUAGGUUUGCAUAACAUUAAGGGGACCUUUAUUGUUACUAUGAACUAAAAGCUUAUAAUAUUCUCCAUGGGUUGGGUGGUGGGCCAUGGACGCCAUGUGCUUGCAUGUGCUGUGUCUUUCUCCUAUAGCCCCACCACUUCUUUCCUUUGAGCAAAUAAAUGGGUGUUUCUUCACAUUCUUCUGCUUCUCACUCUACUCUUUGAAAUCUCUCUCUCUCUCUCUCUCUCUCUCUGAACUUCUUUCUUGGUUUCAGAUAUACUUUGUUGGAUCUGUGGAGCAUACAUCUUGAUCUCUCCUUAUAUAACUUCCCUCUGCUCUCACUUCUGAUGAUUUUCUCUUCUUAGCCAAUACAAGAAAUUUAGCAAGGUACGUAUAUAUGACUUUUGCAUACAGUUAGCAUUUUCAACAAUGGCCAUACCCAUGAAGUUAUUAAAAUUCAAGGCAGAUAAUCCUCUUUCACAUGUUCUUAAAUAUUCUGCUUUAGGAUGAUUUUAAAUCCUAUUUUCCCAUUGUCUUCAACACUUUUUUCCCCUUAUAUUUCCAUGGCAUUCUCCCUACUGCUUCUGUAAAAUCAAGAGAAAGUAUAUGUGAAGGUAUCCGUCAGGAAACUAUUGAACAAGUACUCCAUGCAUGCUGGUUUGAAGAAAUUACAUGUUCCAUGUAUUUUAUCAAUACCCAUCUCAAAACUUUGAUUAUUGAUCCGAAUUAUCGAUAUAUUGUCUUCAAUCUUAAUUUCUGCAGUAUGAGGCCGCCUACCUCACUUAAGAAAGAAUUCCUCAAGAAAUGGAUAAUGGGUCUUCAAUUAUGUAGUUCUUCAAAGAAGGAAAUGAGCUUUCUGGAGAGAAAGAAGGCCAUAAAGCUAUCUGCAGAUGUGGCCAUGGCUUCUGCUAGAAAUGCUACAACUCGAUGGAGUCGUGCUCUCAUUUCCAAUGCUUCAAAAGAUGACUCUAAUAAAGGGCUUGUUGAGUGCAUAUUAGGUCCUGAGUCUGAGAGCCUAAAGAGAGCUUCGAUGAGUUUGGUCUUGUGCAACAAGAGGAAUAGAAGCAAGAAGAUUUUGAGAAAGAGCUGCAGUAUUCGCAGAGCAAGGAAAAGCUCAUCUCAAAUGGUUAUGGCCAGCUCUAUUGCAAAGAGGCUGGUGAAGAAAAGAACACAAGUGCUGAAGAGUCUUGUACCUGGUGGGGGAUCCAUGAGUGAAUUCUCUUUGAUUGAAGAAACCCUAGAUUACAUACUUUCUCUUCGAGCUCAGGUUGAUGUAAUGCGGCAUCUAGCUAAUGCCACAGAGCUCUUAAAUCGUAAAUGAGCUGAAGAUAGUGAAUUAUUUCUUCUUCCACCUUUUCUCUAUUUCUUUUUGCAAGAUUAGAUGAGUGAGAAAAGAAGCUGAUAUAGCUAAGGCAUGUAAAUAUGAACCAUAUGUAAGGAAAUCAUAGCUUUUAUUUCCCUGUUCUCUUCUUGUCAUUACUAAUUUGCACUUAGGUUAAGAAGAUAAAAUUAAUUAGUUCCUUACAUGGACAAUAUUGAUUUUGGGCUCGCCUGCUCGAAAUCAAUCACAUUUGGGGCACUUAAUGCCUCCAUUUUCUUUUACUUUUUGGGUUUCUCUUUUGAUCUUCUCCUAUUUGAUGGGCCACUUUGUCUUCAAUUUCAACAUAAAGCAAAAUAGUGUGUUUGUGUGCGUGCCCACGCUUUUCUCAACCUUAAUGAAGGCAAUUUUGAUCACAUAAAAAUAAAAAUAAAAAAAAUGAAAAAAAUCAGAAAAUGCAAUUAAAUUUGAAUAAGAUUAAUUUCCUGCUGGGGUGUGAUUUUUUUUUUUUUUUUUUUGGUUAUAGAAAAUUUAUCAUUCCUUUAUAAGUUUGCAUGGUCGUAAAGGGAAAGAUCAGCGGAUGAGUGUAAAGUGCAAUGCAAUUGAAAGCUGUACCAUUUGAAGUAUUACUUGAAACGCUGUGUUAUUCAUCUCUGCAAGUUUUGGAAGAAACUGAUGAGAUGGGUCUCAUGCUAUGAGGCAUGUGAGAGAGAAAAGUUGGUGUUGACGUAGGAUAUCAGUGAAAGAUCGAACUGCACACCCGUGCAUAACCUCUCGUGUAUUAUAUUUUAUGACGGUGACAGGAGGAUGAGGAUGAGGAUCCAUACUAUAUAAACGUACCAUACAAGUGAAAUCAUGGAUUCCUAAUAUAUUUUAGAAUUUCAGACCACUAAUAUCCAAUACUAAAAAUCCAUAAAAACAUUUCUUCUAACGAAUCUGCUUUGAACUGAUCUUAUGAUCUGGUCAACAUAGAAACAGAUGAUCUAUUCAUGACCUUCUAACAAACCAUAUUAUGUAUGGACAAAGGACUUGUCAUAUAAUAUUGAACAUACAUGACUGCUUUACAUGUAUAUAUAUAAGUUUAGUACAUUACGGUUGAUUAAAAGGGGAAAAUGAAGCUUCCGUUUCCAUGAAAGCUUUUACUAUGAUGCUUCAGUAGAUCUGCUGAGAAAAUAAUAGAUACAUGAUUUGAUGAAGAAUAUGGUCGACACCCAAUAUGUUCUUUAAGAACGCAUGCCCAUGUUGAAAAAAUUGGGAUCAAAUAUUCAUAAUUAAUCAGUUUUCAGGACUAAUUCUUUUGUGUUCAUAUCAGGCGGUACGAAGUGCCCGUGAAUAUUCAUGGAGCAUUUCAAGUGAUUAAGCCUCCUUCCAACUCUGAUAUAUCUCUCCAUUGCCUAUAGUAUUGACAUGCUUGUAACCUAGUUGUAGUCUAACUCUACUGAGAAGUUGUUACUAAAAGAGUAAAACAACAACAAUUCCAUAGAUGGUGCGAAAAAGAAGGAUUCUGGUUUUUGUUUUGUCAUUCUCCCUUUGGCAUGAAGCAGAUCAAAUAAAAUUCCCUAUUUAAUGAUAUGCUUUUUCCCUAUUACUAGAAGUAUCCCCACAUCAAAAUAAUUGCCCUACCCAAUAGUGAUUUCAAGUAAGCUACCAGUAUCUUUUUACUAAGGUUAAACAGAUAUAGCUGCCAGCCUUUGGUCUCUCCGUAGUGUGGCUGCAUAUCAUUUAUUAACAAUCCCACCCACCGGCCUCCACUGCUCCUCUCUUGCUGAUCCACCUCUCUUGGUCCUCAAAACAAAUUCUGAUAAUGGCAACAACUAAUUUGCAGUGUGUAAUUAAUUUCAAUUUUUUUGUUAAAAAUAUUAAAACCUGCACUCAAUGAAGUUAUCUUUAGUGUUCUUAAUAUGCAUGCCUGUAUACAAAGUCUGGUAUGACCAUAUUACGGCAAGGAAUAUGAUUAAGAGCACUUAAAUAAAGCUAUAGCUUCUAACAAUAGUUGAUUAAUAUUUAAUACUGGCUUUUAAGUACCCAUGCUUGUAAGGUUUUAUUGUUGGAGGAAAAAUGGUCCACCCUAGUGAUUUCGUUUCUAGAAUUUUCACUACAUUAGAAAUCAGUUUCAUCUAAUAAGAGGUGAAAAAUGGGUUUUGAAAUUUUGCAAAAUUUGUAUGCACUAUUAAAUUAAAUUGAAGAUGAAUAUACGUGAAUGAAAUAUAAUCUGAAAUUGAUUGCCUUUUAGACUCGAUAGCAAUUGUAAUUUAAAUAAAAUAAAAUUAAAUUCAAACAAUUCACGGAUUCCACCUCUAUCUUGCUUCAAACAAAAAUAGCUAUAAGAAUUUUUUUAGGGGAAUUGUUUACCAUAUUCCUUGAGCAAGAAGAAGGGAAUGAAGUAUAACAAGACAUAAUCACAUGCGAGGUGAGACUCCAAAAAUAAAUUCCAUCAAGAUGAAUGUAAAUCAUCCAUCAUCCAUGCAUAUAUACCAAUGACUUCAAAAGUAUUCAACUUUAAAAAUGGAGUAGGUUUGCCUACUGCGAUUAUCACCGCCCUCCACUCCUUGAAAAAUGGUGAGGCGCCACACAUGCGCGCACACAAUCAAUGCUGAAUAAUCAUCAACAUUGGCCACUACUUGUCUGCUAAGGUUUCUAAAAAAAGUGCAUUCCUCUAUUAAUUUAAUUCAUGUAUAAGAGGGCGAGGCCCCAUGACUUGGCCCAAGCACCCCACCCAUGACCUUUAUGUGAUCCAUAUACCAUGUGCAAUAAAUAUUAAAGUUAUUUUUGGGCCUUACUCUGGUUCUCUUGGGUGCAUUUAAAGCUCACUUUAGACUGCAGAAGCAACUGCCCAUAACCUCUUGCAAUCACAACAAUUUAAUUAACAACUACUAACAAAUAGGCACUGUAGUUGUAGGCUAGCUGGCCAGCUGUGGUCAUCACUCCUACUCAAAUGGCUAAACAAAUUCACUCUUCUCUCUCUCUUCUCUAGAGUUUUUGGAGAGUAGUGAAGGGGAGAGAAAAAUUCAUUCUAGUAGGCAAAAUUUCCUUGGUUAUCCCCUUUGAUGGGUGCUCAAUCAUAAAAGGGGAGAGUAAAUUUCCAAAAGCAUUACCAAAUAUUAGGAUGCUCUAGUACUCUAGAAGAGUGACAAACUAGGCAAUGUGAAGAGUAAUCGAGAAUAUUUAUUUGUCGCAUUCAAGACUAACAUGCAUGCAUUGCAGCCAUACAUCUUAAAAUGUUUGAUCCAUUGAAGAGAAGGCUUUACAAACAAAGAAAUUUUGCACCAAGUUCCAAGACUGCAUCAUAUUUUAUCCUUUAAUUCAAAAUAAAGUAUACCCCAUUUCCAUAUUCCUUCUUUCAAAUGGAUGGUAAACUUAGCAUUUGUCCAUCAUGUUGUCUCCCAUUGAUGAAGAAAGAUUGUAAUAUCAGGUAAACAGUGGUUGGUUCCCACAUUUAUCAUUGCCCUUAUUAUUCUCAGAACAACUCGUACGCCAAUGCAUAUGAAUUAUUUGUACUAGUCAUUUGUUUGUAUAUAUCCGUGCCUGGAAUAAUAGGUUGAAAACGUUGAGUCAUAUGGGGGAGGUACACCAUAACUCAUUGCCAAUAGGGACAACAAGAUAUUUUGAUGCUGAAUAGUUUUUUAAAGAAAUAAAUUGAUUGUUUUGAUAUUAGAUAUACAAAUUCUAUCUGUCAAAGGUCUGGAUAAGACUGUAUACAGUUUGAUAUUUGAAAAAGCUCUUGAGGACAACACGGUGAUUGCGUUUUUCUUUUUCUUUUCCUCCCCCUUUUUUCUAGGGUGGGGAAGGUGAAUAGGAAGUACUUUUGAGGAUUUGAACAUGGAGCCUUCUCUUGUAAUCCAACUCAUUAAACAGGGCUAAAUAUAGUGCUUUGUUUCUAAGUUUUAUAUUGCUACAGAUCUCUUUAUAUUUCCUUUUUCAAUAUGGUAGAGAAAAAUGAAUUCAAAAAAGAAGAGAGUUUUCACAUAUUUCUGAAAAUUGAAGCUCAGCUAGCCAUUUCAGUUGUAUACCUUGAAAAGUUCCUUUUAUAUGUGCUUUGUAGAGUGCCCGAACAACCUAUACAGGUGUCAGCUUCUGAUAAACUAAUAUACCUAAUUGCAUUUACAAAUUGAUCAAGCUAUUUAUUAACCAUGGAAUUUCUAGCUAACAUCCCCCAUUAAACUCAAAGGUCAAAUGAAGACUAUGAGGCUUGGAAUGCUAAUAAAGUGUUGUAAAAGGUAGACUAUAGUCAUGGGAUCAGCUAGUUGAUCCUCUAGAGAUGUGUAUUAAACCAAGAGUGAUUGUUGCACAACUCGAUCUUGAAUAAAAUGGAAGUCAAUUUCUACAUGUUUUGGUCAAGCAUGAAAGAUAGGAUUAGCAACAAGAAAGACGUUAGAGAAAUAAUUCUCUAAAAUUCUCUUAGUCAAAGUAAUUAACACUCAAAAAUGAUAUAAAAUAAACAAAUAGAAAUGAUUUUAAGGGUAGUUUUGGGUGUUGAGUAACCAUAUUAAUUUGGACUGGAGCUAAGCCCGUAUUUGCACUUUAACAACCUUCUUGAGAAAAAUGUAGUAAAAAGAGGAUAAAAAAAUGUUGCAGGCAUGCAUGUUGAAGAGCUUAGGGGAUGAUAAAAACUAAAGGAGGUAAAGUGGAAUAUGAAAAUGAUUGAGGAGGCAUAACUGUAAAAGCUUAUUGGAAAAUCUGUUUGUGGAAGAGAAAAUAUAAGAAAUCCUUCUAAAAAUCAAAAUUUUGAAUUCUAAAUCGUUUUAAGUUGUCCAUGUUGAAAUUUAUAUAUAGGUGAAUGGAAAAUAGGGCACUCUUUUUCUCUUGGAAGACAUGUUGUUUCUUAAUAGACACAACUUGUUUCAAAGGAUAUGUCUAGUUUUUUAAGAACAUAGCCUCUUCCAAAGGGUGUGUUUGGUGUCUUAAAACACAACCCUUUAAUGGAUGUGUCUAGUAUCUUAAAGACACAUCUCUUCUAAUAGUAGCCAACAAAAUCUAUAAAUAAGAUUCUCCUCCCCCUCUUGUCUUUUUAGAUUUCACUCACUCAUUCAUCCAUUCUCUAUACUCUUUCUCUUUUCUAGUCUCUUAAACAUUCAAGUCCUUUUUAGCUUUAAGUUUAGUCUUUUCUUUUUUCUACCAUUUUUUUUAAUGUUCAAGAGAAUACAAAUCACCAAGUGAUUCGUUGCUUCUUGUGAUUUGGAUUGCUACUAUUACAAGAAAGUGAUCAUUGUAUCUAAAAACCACCAAAAGUCCAAUAAAUAGGAGGAGGGGGGCGGUGAAUGGGUGAUUUAAAAAUUUUCAAUAAAUAUUUAUCUAUGAUACCCAAUUUUUCUUUACUCUUUAAAAUAGCAAAGAUAUCUUGGAUAUCCAAAAGGGUUAUCCCUAUUUUUUUUUUCUUAUAAAAAUCUUAUUUUUAUUUUUAAUUAAAAUCCUGUGAUUGAUUAGAGAUAAAAUAAUAUAAUUGUUAAUAUCCAAACGGUAAUUGUUAGGGAUAACCAUCAUAACCACCAAGAUAACUACCCUAACAAUCUCAAUAACAAACUAACCAGUCAAUAAAAAAAAAUAUCAUCAAUUAGAAUGUAAGUAGGAAGAUAAAUCAAUCAGAAUGUAAGUAGGAAGAUAAAGAUAUUUAAUGAGAUAUAGGAUUUUUACGUGGAAAACACCCACACUAAUUGUGGAGAUAAAAAAUCACCAGGUCUAAGACCGCUAAUCUAAAUCCACUAUUCGAAAUCAAGUUACAAAGAUUUACUUGAUAGCUUUUCCCUAAAGACUUACUCUCUAGUACCUACAACUUGAUUCAUGUUCGUGACGCAACAACCUCUUGUUGCUCCCUAGUAGAUCCUUCAACCUUAUGAUGAUCUUCAACCCAAGAUUCAAAGAAUCAUUCCUUGAAUGAGAGAUUGGGAAUGAUGUGACAAUUUAGGCUUUCUCUUUAGGUAACCCUUUUUAGAGAAAGAGAGGUCUCUAAAGCAAUUCCAUAACUCUUUAGGGGUUAUUAAGGAGGUAUUUAUAGGCAAAAGCCUAAAGAGUCUCGGUUUUGGAAGGUUUUUCAAAUGAAAUUAUGUGAAAAUCUUGGCAAAAAUUGCAUGACCACUCGAGCCAACUCAUAGACCACUUGAGUGCCUUGGUCACUUAAGUGGCAUGGGUCACUUAAGAGGCAUGGCUCGCUUGAGUGGCCCUGAGCACUUGAGUGCUCCAGGCCACUUGAGCGGUCUUGAUCAAUUUAAAAAAUCAAUUUUAAAUCAUUUAAGUUGAAAACAAAAGUUGAUCCUCUUAAUGCUUCAACAUAACCUAAUUUACCAUAAGUCAAACCUUUUUAGACAUACCUAUGACUUUGCGGUUAGACGAACAACAAUCCCUGAUCUUCAAUGGAGAGCAACUCGCUAUCUA